UAAUAAAGCCUAAAACCCAAACAGCCUUCGUAACUAGGAUUUUAGUACCUAUUCCCACUCGCCAACACAUUCCAUCCUGGAGAAUUCCUUUUAAAGCCAAAAUACUUUGCCAAGUAUAUGAAGGUAUACUCCCUAAUCAUGCGUUGACAAAGCCAAUUUCAGGAUAGUACUUAGCUUUUAAUGUACGAGCUAACAAAGAAUUUGGAUAAUUAAUUAACCACCAUCCUUAUUUCGCAAGUAACGAAAUAUUAAAUUUUGCUAGACACCGAAACCCAAGAUCACUAUUUUCAUUUAAAUCGAAAAGUUUUCUCCACUCACGACACCUAUGAAUACCUCUCUUUCCAUGCCUCUUUUACCACCAGAACUUCACAAUUAUGCCUUCCAUUUCAUUAUAAAGAAAGAUCGGAAGUAAAAAAACAAGCCAUCGUGCAAGUCAGAAUGGCCUGUAAAAUUUAUUUUUUAAAAAAAUUCUUUACCUCCUUGAGAUAGAAACUUGAUGCUCCAACUAUCAAUUUUACAUUUCAUUCGUUCCUUGAGUAGUUGAAAGGCCUUUUUAUUCCCUCUACCAACCAAAUUAGGAAGCCCCAAAUACUUUUUUUGGGUUUGCAGAAACACGAACAUGUAAGAUUUGCGCUAUUGCCUGUUUAGCCUGCUCAAAAGUAUUCAAACUAUAGAAAAUAGUUGAUUUUUCAUAAUUUAUACAUUGACCCAAAACUUCCUCAUACUCCUGGAAUAGUCGUUUAAGGACAUUCGUUUCCCUAUCUGAAGCCUCCCCGAAAAUAAUACAAUUAUCAGCAAACAAGAGAUGUGAAAUUUUUGGUCCCCUUCUGCUCACUUUGACACCUCCUAACUCUCCUUCCCUUUUGGACAAUUUCAUUAAGGAAGACAAACCUUUAUUGCAAAUCAUAAAUAGAUAAGGGCUUAAUGGGUCCCCUUGUCUUAACCCUCUUGUGGGGAAGAAUUUUUGUCCUUCUUUUCCAUUAAUCACAAUGAAGUACGAAAUCGAGUUGAUACACUUCAUAAUAAAAUUCACCUAAACUUUAUCAAAACCUAUCUUCAGCAUCAUUUAUUAUUAAAAACCCCAUUCAACUCGAUCAUAGGCUUUACUCGUAUCUAAUUUCAAUGCGAAAGAGUCUUUUCCCUUAUUUCUUUUUUGCUUAAAGGAGUGUAAGACUUCAAAAGAAAAAAGGACAUUAUCAGUUAUCAUACACCCUGGGACAAACGCACUAUGGGCCUCGUCAAUGCAAUAAUCUAAAACUUGUUUGAAUCGAUUCGCAACAGUUUUAGAAAUGAUUUUAUAUAGAACCAUGCAAAGACUUAUAGGUCUAAAAUUAUUCACAUUCAACAGCUGAGCAAUUUUAGGAAUAAGCGCAAUAUUAGUAGCAUUAAAUUGUUCCAUAUUCAUAUCUCUAUUUAGAACUCCCAGGCAGAAGUCGCUUACAUCUUUUCCAACAAUAUUCCAAAAUUUCUAGAAAAAUAGCUUUGGGAAUCCAUCAGAACCAGCAACUUUUGUUGGACCCAUUGAUUUCAAUGUCGAAACCACUUCAUCAUCUGUAUAAUUAGCCAAUAGCAUCUGAUUCAUUUAUGCUAUUAUACAAGUAUCCACUCUUGACAGAAUGUGUUCCAUAUUGCCCACUCCUUUUGAUGCAAAAAUAUUAGUAAAGUAUUUGCAUGCAAAUCUUUCCACUUUGGUUUCUGACGUGGCUAUAUUACCCACUUCAUCCAUCAGCUUCCGGAUACGAUUUGAAUGUCUUCUUUGGGAUGCAAAAUUGUGAAAGAAUUUGGUGUUUCUAUAUUCCAUUUUCAACCAAUUUGUCAUGGCUCUUUGCUCCCAAUAAGCUUCUUCCUUCUCAAUCUUCAUAUUAAGAUGGAUUUUCAUAUCGAUUAUCUCAACUAAUGUAUCAUCAUCCCUGUCAAGUUCUAGCAACCGACCCAACUUGUCUUGCAAGCUUUUAGAAAUUUUGGUUUGCUUGCUUUUUAUUCCCUCUACCCAUCUUUUUAGCCUAGUUGAAAGCAUUUCAAGUUUCUCCAGAACCGAACUAAAAUUCAAGUCCCAAAUACACCUUACUUCCUCUUCAUAAGAUUCCUCCAAGACCCACCACGAUUCAAAAUUAAAAUUUUUUAGACUUUUCUGUUGAUCCCCUUGAUCAAUUUUGAUUAGAAGGGGAAAGUGAUCGGAAAAAGAAUGCGGUAAGUGGUUUAUUGAGAAAUUCGAGAACAUAUCAAACCACUCAACAUUAGCCACCCCAUAUCAAGUCAUUCUCAAAUGUUAGUUUCAAGAAGGUUACCUCUUUCCCAAGUGAAUCGAGGUCCAAAAUACCCUGCAUCCAUUAAUCGUCAAUCAUCAAGCGUUCUCCGAAAAUAUUCCAUCCGUCUAUCAUUUCUUGGAAGCCUACCAAAUUUCUCGAAAGAAUACAAAAUUUCAUUGAAAUCUUCACAUACAAGCCAUGGUAAGUCUUGAUUUCGACUUAAACUUUGUAAUAAAUUCCACCAUUCCUCUCUGAAGUGCACACCUGAGAAUAACUUCGUAGUUGGACCAAUUCAUUUCCGUUCCAAGCUAAACUAAGCCCACCUCUCGUUCCAUUUGCUGAAAUAACAAUUCCAUUAGAAAAUUCACAUAACUUUCGGACCCUCUCUAUUCGAGAAUUAUUCAACUUAGUCUCCAUUAAGAAGAUAAUUUGGUGAUUGUAUAUCUUUAGCAUGUGCUGAAGUUUUCAAAUUGCCUGCAUACUCUCCAAUCUGUGAACAUUCCAACUUAUCAUUUUCAUGGUUCCCGGUCGACAGGCGUCCUGGUCGCCACCGAUAUCAUAAGGGAACAAACAUUAUUUUGUUCAUUCGUGGUACCCAACGAAUCUUCCAUUCCCGAAACGCUAAAGUCCAAUAAGACUAUCUUGGGCCAUUUCUUUUCGUCUUAACUAUGCAACAGGGCUUUCCUUAAUAUCAUGGUCCAUUUCAAAUUGGCCCACACCACUGGAAGAUCCCAUAGAAUUCAUUUCCAUUUUUUUAGGAAAUUCCUUCAAAUUAAAUCCUAAGAUUGGUUUUAUCUUCUUCCUUAAAUCUCUCCUAACAUCCUCCCAUUGAUUUCUCCCCAAAUUAUGGUUGUCAAAUUUUUCCCAAAAUUCGUCAUCCUCUUCCUCCCGAAGUUAGACGCUAUUCUCAACCACAACUAUUUUAGAUUGCGUUUUUAGAUUUGAGUUUCAUCCCAACUCCAAAAUCUCAUCCCUUUUUGCUAAUUGGACAGGGAAAAAAUUAUCAUUAUGUCCCAACCACCCGCAGAAAAAACACAUAUUGAAAGGAGACAUAAGUUGAAUUUGAUGAGGAUAACGUGUUCUUAUUUCUUCUUUUCAAUGGCUUCUUGAUAUCCACCUCUGCUCUAAAACGCUAGAAACUCAUGAAUCCUUUACUCAGAGGUUUUGCAUUGUACUUUACAAAACGUCCAACAAAAAUUCCCUAAUUGUUUUGCCACACUUUUCGAAAAGAAACUAGGGGGAAGAUCAUGAACAUGAACCCAUAAAGGUGAAAAUACUAGAGGAACUUGCAUCGGGUCUUCAUUGUUCUCUAAACUAUGAUGAAUCAACAUGUGGUUAUUGAAAGUCCAUGAGCCCCCCUCCAUUACACGCUUGAUAUCCAUCUCAUGGAAAAACUUGAAAAAAAAAACCUUAUUUUCUCCCAAAUCUGAGAUCAGUACUCCCCUUAAUGGAUGCAAAAUAUUUUCCAUAGUGUUUUUCAUAGCCGGAAAAUGAGAUACUCGUUGUUAAGAACCAACCGACCAAACAAAACUCGUAAGUCGAUUUUUGUGCCUCUCGAUCUAUUGGCAACAAAAUUCCAGCAUCUUCUUCAUGUUCAUCUUCAAGAUUUAAGCCUUCCAUUUCCUUCUCCAUCUUGCCUUCUUGCCGGAACUAAUGUAAAGAAAACUUAAAAAAGACGAAACAAAACUUCAAAAAAACUUCAAAAAAACAAACACAAGAAUACCAAAAGACAAAAUGAAACCAAACGUGCUACCAAGAGCAGACAAGGACGUGCUCCCAAGAGCAGACUCUUUGCCUUUACUACUUGAAAUGUUAUUUUAAUUGAAUUUCUUAAUCAAACCUAAAUUAAGUUAAUCAAAUUAAUUGGAUUUUGAUAAAAUUUGCAAGUAAAAUAUGGUCAUUGUCUCUUGGACUUAAAGGGUACAUUCAGUGGGGGAUUUUGGAUCCAAUAGACGAGAGCACAUAAAAAAGGGCUAAUUGAUCCAAAUUCUUACAAAGUGGCUCCGAUUGCAAUGGGGUUGGGCAACACUUUGAACCCAUACAAGAAAACUAAACAUCAGGCCGAUGUAUGCGAAAAUCAUGGGUUGUUGCCCAAAACGACAAUCCUCAACUAAACGAAUGGAUAAGCCCCCGACCAACAAACUACGUCAUCCCACGUGCCGUUUUUCUCCCACAAAAUGUUGAAUAAUAAACAACUCGACACUCAUCAUCCUCGUCAUCAUACUAAUCUUCAUUAUUUUCAUUUCUGCUCUAAAGCUUUUUAAGUUUUUUUUUUCUCCUGGAAAUUUUGAUCCUUUUUCUUCUCCGUUGUUUAAUUUAGAGCGAAUUGGCGAUGAGUUUCCGGGACGAUAAUGAUGAAAGUCGGGAUCUCAAGAAGCCCUUCUUACAUACCGGAAGUUGGUAUCGGAUGAGUUCGAGGCAGUCCAGUAUUAUGAGUUCUUCUGCUCAAGUCCUUCGCGAUGGAUCUAUCUCCGUCGUUCUUUGUGUCCUCAUCGUUGCCUUGGGCCCUAUCCAAUUUGGCUUUACCGUAUAAUAAUUCUACACCCCUCUUCUCACUCUCAUUAUUGGUCUUUUUCGCUUUUCCAGUUUCAUUUUUAACUGUAUUUUUUUUUAAAAAAUUUGAAUACAUAGUGUGGAUAUUCUUCUCCUACUCAAGCUGAAAUUAUCAGUGAUCUUAAGCUUUCGAUUUCAGAGGUAUUGAUUUUUGAGUCACCCAAAUUCCUUCUUUUUUUUUUUUAAAUUUGAAUUGAUUUUAUUCUGUUUUUCUUUUCAUUAAAUCAGCCCUUUUUUUUUCUUUUUUUUUGGGGGCCAGUUUUCUAUUUUUGGUUCGUUGUCAAAUGUGGGCGCAAUGGUUGGGGCAAUAACCAGUGGUCAGAUUGCUGAAUAUAUUGGCCGAAAAGGGGUAACUUCUUUACUUCGUAAUGUGAUUUACCCUUUGAUUAAUGUAUUCUUUAACCUUGGAGCUGAGAAAUUAUAAAUUUAAUCCAUUAAUCUUCCAAAUUUAUAUAUGGAAUUGCACUGAUAUUGCAUCAAAUACGAAUCCUUUGAUCUUUCUUUUUUCACUUCAACAAUUUAAUGCUGUUUGUGGUGUUAAAAUCUGCAGUCGUUGAUGAUUGCUGCGAUUCCAAACAUAAUAGGAUGGUUGGCCAUAUCAUUUGCCAAAGUGAGUGACUUUUAGUAAUUUUUUGCACUUGUAAUCGUGUUUCCUUUGCAAAGCAUGUUGCUAACUUCGUACGCAUUGGGCAUUUGUAGGAUUCUUCGUUUUUAUUUAUGGGAAGGUUGUUAGAAGGGUUCGGUGUUGGUAUUAUUUCUUAUACGGUACCUUGAAAGCUUUCAGCUGUUUUUUUUUACGUUUCUUAGAUUUUUUUUCCUUUACAAGUAUUACUUAAAAUAGAAUAGUUCCAAGAUUUUUUUUAAAAAAAAUUAUGUCUAGGUGCCUGUGUAUAUAGCUGAGAUAGCACCCCAAAACAUGAGAGGAAGCCUUGGAUCAGUGAACCAGGUUUGUUGUACACUAGUAUCCAUUUCGGUAUCCCUUAUUUGCUUCUGUCUACUGAUUAAUCAAGUGAACAUCUUUAUUGGAUAGCUAUCGGUUACUAUUGGAAUAAUGCUGGCGUACCUGUUGGGACUCUUUACAAAUUGGAGAGUACUUGCAGUUUUGGGUAAGCGGAUUAAACUUUGCUCACCUAGCCCUUCUUUCCAGAAAGAGAAGCACUUAAUGCUGUUGAAGAAACAGUGUAUUAUUAUUUUUAUUCGAACAAAUUCAAAUUUCUUUGAAGAUUUCGUAUUGCAUGGCCGCAUGCAUGUGAAGACUUGAACCCUUGCGUGUAAUUGAAGUUAACUGUGUUCUCCCCCCCCCCCCCCCGGCCCCCUCUGUAGAAAAUUAGUAGUGCUUGUGGAAAUAUCUUUCUUCUCAAGGGAAUUAAAGCUUUUUUAAAUUUAAUAGAGAUAGAUGGCUAUUAGGCUCUGAAGAGAUUACUUUUUCCCAUGACAAUGAAGUUAUGGCAUCAUUUGCAUAUGCAUUAGAUCACCAUGGUUCUGUUGAAUUUUAACUAUGGCCAUUGUGUAUCAAUAAUCAAUAAAAUUUGUUAUUAAAUGCACAGUUAUCAUUAACAAGCUGCUAUGUUUCUUCUUUGUAGGAGUAUUACCUUGUACAAUAUUGAUACCUGGCCUAUUCUUCAUACCAGAAUCUCCUAGAUGGCUGGUAAGAAACAAGUACCUGCUAUCAUUUGAGUGGACCUUUUAAAACUUCUUACUUUUUCCUCUUUUCUUUUCUAUUUAGUAUUUUGUCUAUGUCUUCUGAAUGGGUUGCAUCCAGGCAAAAAUGGGAAUGAUGGAAGAUUUUGAAGCCUCUCUGCAAGUUUUGCGGGGCUUUGAUACAGAUAUUUCUGUUGAAGUUAAUGAAAUCAAGGUAUUGAACUGAAUCACUUCAGUAUGGCUUUUUCACUUCAGCCAAGGCUCAUGCUUUCUGGAUUGUACUGCAAACCUAAGUUCUUAUGCAAAAGCUUUAGUUGGUUAGCAUAAGGUUUUUUCUUAUUGGCAUUUUUUUCCUAUUUUACUCUUAAAAGUUAAGCUCUAAUUGGCACUUCUGCAGAGAGCUGUAGCAUCAUCAAGCAGGAGAACAACAAUUCGAUUUGCAGAUCUCAAGCGAAAAAGAUAUUGGUAUCCCUUGACGGUAUAUUCUUUUUUCUUAUUUCACUUAUAGUUUUUCCCCCUUUGCCCUUAACGUUGAUUGAACCCCCCCGUUAGUGGUAAUUGGUAUGUUGCAGAUAGGGAUUGGGUUACUGGUGCUUCAGCAACUCAGUGGCAUCAACGGUGUUUUAUUCUAUUCCAGCAAUAUCUUCGCAAGUGCUGGUUAGAACAAUAUUUCUUUGAUAUUUAAUUGUACUAUUAAUUGAAGCUGUAGAUGGUGGAUAAAUAAAUUCUCAAAGAAAUGGAUACUUCACCAUGUAUGAACCUCAUUACUGCAUUUUGGAUAGCAUGAAUUACACAAAUUCAAAUUUGGUAAGACGAACUUGUCAUUCGAAACAUAUUUAGUGGAUGUCUCAAAUAAAGCAGGAAGAAUGCAUUUGUGGUCUGUUGCAGAUUAGCUAGUCUUCUAUUUGUACAUCUUAUUGAUGUUGUUAUCCUCUUAAGAAUUUGAGGGGAAUUGUAUUAAUUGUUUAAUUACACAAGUUUAACAAAAAAUGAAUUACCCCUUCCCAUCUCAAGGCUCUCAUUCCAUAACCAUCAUCAUGCAUUAUUGUCAUAAUUUGGUGUAUGUUCUUAAGGUUGCAACAGCUUUAGGUAUCGUUUAUUUAUUUUUGCCUUCUGUUUCACUAAUUUGAUGGUGCUAUAAAACUUUUUAGGGGUUGCGUCUAGUGAUGUUGCGACAUUUGGGGUUGGGGCCAUUCAGGUAACAUAUGCAGAGUCUUAUUGCAGGAGUUCAUAUAUUGUGAGGGAGCUUUAUUCUGAUUGGUCUAAUAGGAGUCUGUAUUCUUCUAGGUCAUUGCAACCGGGGUGACUACAUGGUUGGUGGACAAAACUGGCCGCAGGCUUCUUCUUAUGGUGUGUUUAACCAUUCACCCCAUAUUUGUUAAUGAGCUAAAGUGAUAGAAAUGUAGAGGAUCAAUAAUCUGAAAUGAUUUUGCAGGUAUCCUCAGCUGGAAUGACACUGAGUCUGCUAAUUGUUGCAGUUGCCUUUUAUGUUGAGGUUGGUGAAGUUAGGUCCAUUUAUUUCUAAUUUAUCUUCCUUUUCUGAAAUCUUAUAGAAUGCAAUUGUGAAUACUUAAGUAAUCCCACUCAAGAAACUCUUUCUUAAACAUUUUGGCACUGCUUCUUGAUACCUUCUUCUCCCGCUUCUUUUUCUUCACCGAUACCAGGGCAUCGUCUCUAAAGAUUCUGACUUAUAUGGCAUAAUGGGAAUACUGUCAUUGGUUGGUCUUGUGGUAAGAUUUCUUUUACACAUGGUGGAGUUUGUAUGUAUAAAUAAAAUAUAUAUCUCAUGUACUCUACUUCUGUCAAGUAAUUUGAAUCUGAUUGAUUUUCUUUCUCCAUCCAGGCCUUUGUGAUUGCCUUCUCACUGGGAAUUGGAGCAAUUCCAUGGGUUAUAAUGUCUGAGGUAUUCAGAUUUUCUUGUAUUUCCACCUUAACGUAAAUCGGAACCAUUCUUAAUUUUGAUGUUGUAGGAUUCUGUAUGAAAUACUUGAUAUGAUGGAUGACAGUAUGUCUCAUGAGUGAUUAUACAUGAACUUGUUUGACCUUGGAUGAUAUAAGCAACUGAGACCAAUAAGAAAAAGGAAGAAAUCCUUUUAAGCGAACCCCCUUAUUAUCAUAUUUAGUUGGAGGCAUACAUCUUCCCAACAAAACCAAACCUAAUUGUUUUCGUGAGCAUUAUGGCUUUGUCAAGAGAUAAAGCCGAUGUGUGACGGUUAAGGUAAUGACAUAUCUAGUGACGGAUAUUAAAUCUGGUGUGAUUAUAUUACAUGUUUAUCUACUAAAGCUGCUGAACGAGGUGUAUGUACUUUAUACCAUCAUGUACUCUUAUCAUUGGUAGCAUGCAUGUAUGCAUUUAAGUAGUUUGUUACUAUUUGUAGAGCAGUUAUAGUGUUUGUGCACAUAAAAUAAGUUGCUCACAAUGUUGGGGUCGUCUGGGUGAGGUGCUUAUUUUUCUAAACUUGCAUCAUUUCAGAUACUUCCAGUAAAUAUUAAGGGCCUAGCUGGGAGUGUAGCAACAUUAGCAAAUUGGCUGACAUCAUGGGUGAUUACUAUGACGGCAAACUUGCUUCUGACCUGGAGUGGUGGAGGUCUUUGUCUCUCCCAGUAUCUGUGUUUAGUUGCAAUGUACAACUUAAGAAGGAUCCAUAUAAACUAACAUGCUUGCAUCUUAUGAGCAGGAACAUUCACUAUUUACGCAGUUGUGACGGCAUUCACGGUUGUUUUUGUGGCACUUUGGGUCCCUGAAACCAAAGGGAGAAGUCUGGAAGAGAUUCAAUCUUCCUUCAGAUAAAAAAAACGUUCUUCAGUGUAAUGCAUUUUAUCUUUACCGAUUUGAUUUUCAAAGUUGUUAAGAGUAUAUAUGCGCAGUUCAUGUCCAGCAAACCUGUACCAUGUAUUGUUUUCCUGUUGUUUGAUAACAUGUUUGCACUACUAUUUUACAAGGAAAAAAAAAGGGAAAAAAAAAGGAAUUUAUUCUUGAUUAUACAAUCAAUUCUCUUUAUAUAGACUCAUUUGUAUACACAUUUGUAUGCUAAAAUUUGGAUGGAUGGUAUAGAGGUAAUUGCAAUGUCUAUAAUUGUAUCCUACCAGCAUAUAAUUUUGAGAUCUCACAUGUCAUUCUCGGCCACCAGCAUGUCUGCUUUAAAUUAUUAUACAUUUUGUUGCUGCCCGAAUGUAUAAAUUAAGUACUGCUAUGUGCCUCGUGCAAAAUGUCUCAUUUUAGCUCAGAAUCUUUCGGUACAUACAACUGGUUACGGAAGUAUAAACUGCUAUAAUCAUUAAUGCUGAACUCAGUAGUCUGUGCAUUUUCAAUUAGUUUUCGUUUCGCUUGCAAUUUUGAAUAAUUUUUUGAAAAUUUCGAAUUCGCUGUAGAAAUAAUGAUCUAGCUCUUAAUGGAGUCAUUACAUUGUAAGGUAGGUUGGAGUUGAAUGCUUUUAAAGCAAAUAGAGAUUUUCGACUCAAUGUGUCGGCUACAACAUUUGUUUUACCCGGGUGGUAAUCAAUGACCAGAUCGUAAUCUUCCAACAGUUCAAGCUAAUUGCGUUAUUUCAGGUUCAAUUCAUUUUAAGUUAUCAGGUAUUUUAAACUUUUGUGAUCAGUGAAUAUGUGACAUUUUUCACCGUAUAAGUAAUGCCGCAAAAAUUUUAAAGCAAAAACAACAGCUACUAAAUCCAGAUUGUGUUUUGAAUAAUUCUUCUUGUGUGGUUUCAACUGUAGGGAGGCAUAAGUUAUUACUUUACUGUCUUGCAUCAACAUUUAACCCAAUCCGUUCAACAAAACAUCAGUAUAAACAAUGAAUUCCCUCCCAAAUUCAGUCUGAGUUAAAACUAGAGCUUCUGUCAGCAAUGCUUUCAACCAAUCGAAACUCUGUUGGAACUUUUUUGACCAAAUGAAAACAACAUUUUUCUGUAAUAGCUUUGUCAACGGUAAAGCAAUUAUCAGAAAGCCUUUAACGAAUCGUCUAUAAUAUCUGGCUAAUCCCAGGAAAUUUCUCACUUCAGUAACAUUUUUUAGAGGUUUCCAACUUAGAAUUGCAUAAAUUUGUUUGGAUCAACUCGGAUACCAUUCGCAGAAAUCACGUGUCUCAGAAAUCCAAUCUCUCGGAGCCAAAUUUUACAUUUAUUGAACUUUGCGUAUAAUUGUUUAUAUCGCAGAGUCUGUAAUAUGAUUCUCAAAUAGUGAGCAUACUCAGCCUCAUCUCUCGAAUAAAUCAGAAUACUGUCAAUAAAUAUGACAACAAAUCUAUCCAAAUGCGGCUGAAAUAUCUGGUUCAUCAAAUCCAUAAAUGUGAGAGAGGUGUUAAUUAGAUCAAACGACAUUACAAGGAACUCGUAGUGACUGUAUCGAGUUUUGAAGACAAUUUUCAGUACGUCUAGUUCUUUAACUUGCAACUAAUAAUAGCCGGAUCAAAGAUCAAGAUUCAAAAAUACGUAACUCCUUUCAACUAAUCGAACAAAUCAUCGAUAAGAGCCAACGUAUAUUUUUUUUAUAGUCACAUGUUCAGCUAUCUGUAAUCAAUACAUAAUCUCAUAGUCUCAUAUUUCUUUUUUACGAACAAAACCGGAGCACCCCGAGGUGAUACACUCGGUCGAAUGGAACCUCUAUCAAUCAACUCUUGCAACUGUGCUUUUAAUUCUUUUAAUUCAUUUGAAGCCCUUCUAUACAGAGCAAAAUAUAUAGAAACAGUCCCUGGUACUAAAUUAAUAGCAAAUUUACUUCCCGUUUUGGUGGUAACCCAGACAAUUCUUCUAGAAACAUAUUGGCAAACUUAUUAAUCUUUGGAACAUGUUUUAUCUUCGAUUUUGAUACUCGAGUAUGUAAAAUAUAAGCAAGAUAUACUUCACAACCUUUCCUGACCAGUUUCUGAGUAGAAAUUGCCGAUAUAACAUUAGUAGUACAAUCGAUUUUGUCGAAUUCAAUAGUAAUCAUCAUACAGCUCUGGCAUCUCAGAACAAUUUCUGUCUACAGUUUACCACAACAUCAUAUAGAGUCAAUCAAUCCAUAUUCAGAAUAACGUCAAAUUCAUCAAAGGGUAAUAACAUCAAAUUAGUUGGAAAUAUACAGUCUCAAAUUUUUAAUGGACACUUUUGUACAUAUCAUAUUAACUAAGACACUCUAACCUAAUGGAUUUUGUAACAGUCCGAUUUUAGUGGUGUAGGAAACGGUGGUUUUGAGACUAUAAUUUCUGAGAAGGGAGUCAGUAAAUAUUAUUAAUUUAAUAUUUACGAACAUUUAGUAAAGUCAUAUUAAACUUUAGUUAGGAAAUUUAAAUGUUUAAAACACUAAUUAAGCAAAAAGGAUUAAAUCAUAAAAGCAACAAAAGUUAAAUCCUAUUAGUUAAAUAUAUUCAAUGGCCAUGAAAAGAGAAAUAGGUGGACUUAAAUGGCAAUUAUGCCAUGUCAAUGGUUAGUGGACGCUUUGGUGACCAAACUUUUGAUAUUUUCAUGAUAAAAUUAUAAUAUUAAUAUAUUAAUAUUAGGUAUUAAGUGAUAAAAAGGAAAGAAAACAUUUUUUUUCCUUUAAGUUCAUCAUCCUAAACGUGAGAAACUCCAUUUUUGGAGCAAGAAGGUUCGGUCAAACUCCCUUCUAAGCUUGGAUCAAGAUACGCAACAACUGGACUUGAAUCGUGAAAAGGCCAAAGUUUUAGAUUAGUCGUCGGUACCUUUGUGUGCAAUCAUGUAGUCGAGGUAAGUUCGUUUAAUGGUAAACUAACCAAUUUUGUAAUUUGAUGGAAAAUUUAUUUAUGCCUCGUUUUGUAUAAUUUCUUUGUAUAUAAAUUGUUAAUUUGUUAUUUGGGCGAUAUUGUAAGUUCGUGUAAUUUAAGAUAAUGUGCGUAAAACGUUGAGGAUUAGGGAACGAUAUGGAAACAUGCUCCAUUUGAGACUUAUGAAUACUUAGGAUACAAAUGACACGUUAUUAGAGAUUAUAAGUUUUCGAGUGCUGGUCUUGGGUGUCCUGCCGAUGGCUGAGGUAUUGCAUUUGUUUUGGAUUCUCCACAGCUCGUGUGAGCAACAUCGUGCAGUCUAACAUCCCGACCCACAGCUCGUGUGAGUAGGCCCAAUUCACAGCUCGUGUGAGCAUUACAUGAUACGAUUAUACUUACAUGUACAGGCACACUUCGUGUGAGGAUGGUUCUCGUGUAUCUUAAAUAUAUGUUGAAUGUUAUGUACCAGUUCACUAACUUGUAAGAAUGGUGAUUGAAAUUAGGAAUCAACUAUACAUAUGAGCAAGCUAAUGGAAUAAUGCAUUAACUUUAUAAAUUUGAGCCUAUUUGGUGAGUUUUUGUUAAAUUUUAUACGUGCUUACUAAACAUUAUAUGCUUAUGUAUUUGUCUUUCUUUUUUUGAAGAUCAUUAGAAAGCUUGAUCGGUUGGAAUUGUGUGGGAGCACAAUCACACUAUCCUAUCAUCGUUUUGGCAGCUUUUAGUUACUUUGGUUAAGGUUAUAAAUGGCAUGUAAUAUGGCUUAAAUAUUAUCUUGGUUAGUUUUGAUUAGGUUCCAGGUCUAUUUGUGUUUAUUGCCUUUUUUGAGGAUGUUUUGUAAACAUGGUAUAGAUAUGUGAUCUUAUGUAACACCCCUUACUCGUAUCUGACGCCGGAACUGGGUUACGGAGCAUUACCGAACUUAUAGAUCAAACAAUCAAAAAAUUUAAAAUUAUUUCUCAUUAAAUUUAAAAACCAUUUAUAGACAAUCAUAUGGUCCCUAAUACAAGCCCUCGAGGCCCAAAAUAAACAUUAAAAGUGGUUCAGAACUAAACUGAGUACUCAAGAAAUUUUUAGGAACUAGUGUGGUUAGGCCGUAUGUCUCACAUGGCCAAGAGACACGCCUGUGUCUCAGGCCGUGUGGGCAUUCGGAAUGGGGACACACGACGGUGUCCUAGCUUGUGUCUGAACUAGUGUAACUCAUUGACUUGGGUUAUACGGCCGGACCACACGCCCGUGUUCCAGGCUGUGUACCUUUUGAAAUGGCCUCACACGCCCGUGUGCUAGGGCGUGUGCUAGGCCGUGUGAAAACUGGAGGGUAUACUGACUUGUGUCUCACGACCAAGCCAUACGCCUGUGUGCUAGGCCGUGUGAAGCUACUGACUUGAUUUCUAUAGAAGUAUUAGGGGACACACGGCUGUGUCCCCUAGUCGUGUGUCAGACAUGGCUGAUACACAUGCUCGUGUCUCUGCCCGUGUGGAUAAAAAUAGGCUAUUUUCCAAGUCAUAUUUCUCACCCAAUUUGGUACCAAUCUAAGUCUAAAAAUGUUCAUACAACCAUGGCAUAAAUAGGCAUUCAAAACUAACCAAUAUCAAGUUUAUAACAUGUUAUAAUAUCACACACAAUCAUGAUACUCUUAGGUACCUCAAAAGACCAUUUAUAACAUGCCAAAAUAUGCUUCCAAAAUAUACCUAAAUGGUCAACACAUAUAUGAGACAUUGUGUCUCAAUUCAAUAUGCAUACCACAUCUCAAUUUCAACCAUUUGGUACCCAAAAUACUAAAUCACAAACAAGGCAUUCACAUAGCCACUAUACACCACAUACCAUAAGGUCAUUUAUACAUAUUUACAUAACCAAACAUAUACCAUUUUCAUUGAUCUCUUGAGCUAAAAUUUUGAUCGGUUAUUCAUUAUACGACAUGUCGGGCUAAAUUUCAAUCUCUGUCGGAGAAAUUAUAUGCGAAGGAUCCGAUCGUUGUACCGUCGUAACAUAGACACAUGAAACACAUUAUUAAUCUUUUCCAACACAUUAUUAACCAGUCGAUAUGUCACUGGUCCUAUUCUCUCGAUAAUCUCAUACGACCCGAUAAAUUGAAGACUCAACUUUCCUUUGCGACUAAAACGGAUAAUUCUUUUCCAAGGCGGUACUUUUAGAAACAUUUUAUCGCCCAUCUGAAACUCAAUAUCUUUACACUUCAAAUCCACGUAUGAUUUCUGUCGAUCUGAAGUGGCUUUCAAACUGUCACGAAUCACUUUCGCUUUCCCUUCGAUUUCUCGGAUCAAAUCAACCCCGUGUAUCUUUUUCUCACUAAGCUCGGUCCAGUACAACGGAGUUUGGCAUUUACGACCAUAUAAAGCUUCAUACGGUGCCAUUCUUAAUGCUCGAUUGAAAACUAUUAUUAUACGCGGAUUCAACCAAUGGUAAAUAUUUUUCCCAAUUACCUUUGAACUCUAAAACACAGCAACGAAGCAUAUCCUCGAGGAUCUGAAUCACUCUCUUAGACUGGCCAUCUGUUUGGGGAUGAAAUGUAGUGCUAAAAUGCAACCGCGUACCCAAAGCCUCUUGCAAUUUCUUCCAAAAUCGUGAUGUAAACCGCGAAUCUCUAUCCAAAAUAAUGGAGAUUGGUACUCUGUACAAUUUCACAAUCUCAGAAAUAUACAAUUCGACUAAUAUAUCAAGAGAGAAGCCCGUACGCACUGGAAUAAAAUGUGCAAACUUUGUCAAACGAUCAACAACGACCCAGAUAGCAUCUUUCUUUUUCGGAGAUAGAGGUAAUCCCGAUACGAAAUCUAUCAUAACUCUAUCCCAUUUCCACUCUGGUAUCAUUACUGGCUAUAAUAGUCCUGACGGUACUUGAUGUUCUACUUUAACCUAUUGACAAAUCAAGCAUCUCGACACAAAUUCAGAAAUGUCACAUUUCAUACUCGACCACCAGUAUAUCUGUUUCAAAUCACUAUACAUCUUAGUACUCCCCGGAUGAAUAGACAAGCUACCACGGUGUGCUUUGUGUAAAAUUUUCUGUAUAAGCUCAAAAUUAUUUGGCACGCAAACUCUACCUCGGAACAACAAACAAUCAUAGGAUCCGAUCUGAAACUCUGAAUCAGUAGUCGACUCGCACUAUACUCUUUUAGCUUGCAAUUCAUUAUCACAUUUCUGAGCCUCGCAAAUUUGUUGUAAAAACAUUAGUUUAACUUUUAACUCAGCUAAGACUGAAUCAUCAUCAGACAAUGUCAAUCGCGUAUUCAUUGCUCUUAGAGCAAACAAAGAUUUUUUACUCAAAGUAUCUGCGACCACAUUUGUUUUCCCCGGGUGAUAAUAAAUUACUAACUCAGUCUUUCAACAAUUCUAGCCAUCGUCGCUAUCUCAAGUUUAAAUCUAUAUAUGACAUCAAAUAGUUCAAGCUCUUAUGAUCGGUAAAUAUGUGGCACUUCUCACCAAACAAGUGGUGUCGCCAAAUUUUUAAUGCAAACACAAGCGGCUAAUUCCAAGUCGUAUGUUGGAUAAUUUUUCUCGUACGUCUUUAAUUGUCUGGAAGCAUACGCUAUUACUUUGUCUUCUUGCAUUAGAACACAUCCCAAACCAUUCAAUGACGCAUCACUGAAAAUCACAAAUUCUUUACUCGACUUAGGCUGAACUAAAACUGGUGUUUCGGUUAACAGUGCUUUCAACUGAUUAAAACUCUGUUGACAUUUCUCAGACCACUCAAACUUUACAUCUUUUUUGCAAAAACCAAGUCAUCAGUGUAGCUAUCAUUGAGACACUUUUAACAAAUCUUCGAUAAUAGCUCGCUAACCCCAAGAAACUUUUGACCUCGAAAAUGUUUCUUGGUGGUUUCCAGUUAACAACUGCUGAAAUCUUGCUCGAAUCAACUCUAAUGCCUUUUUCCAAAACAAUGUGUCUCAAAAAUCCAACUUCUCAGAGCCAAAACUCACAUUUGCUGAAUUUAGCAAAUAGUUGUUUAUCUCUCAAUGUUUGUAACACAAUCCUCAAAUGCUCAACAUGUUUGGCUCAUCUUGGGAAUAGAUCAGAAUAUCAUCGAUGAAUACAACAACAAAUCUGUCUAAUUACGGUUUGAAAAUUCUAUUCAUCAAAUUCAUAAAAACCGCAGGAGCGUUAGUUAACCCGAAUGACAUAAUAAGAAAUUCAUAAUGCCCGCACUUGGUUUUGAACGCAGUUUUCGACACAUCCAAAUCUUUAACCCGCAAUUGAUAAUAUAACCAAAUCGUAAAUCAAUAUUUGAAAAUACUGUUGCUCCUUUCAAUUGAUCGAACAAAUCAUCAAUUCUCGGUAAAGGAUACUUAUUCUUAAUCGUAACAUUGUUAAGCUGUUGAUAAUCAAUAGACAGCCUCAUUGAUCCAUCUUUCUUCUUUACAAAUAAAAUCGGUACACCCUAAGGCGAAAAACUCGAUUGUGCAAAACCCCUAUCUGUUAAUUCUUGCAAUUGAGCUUUCAACUCUUUCAACUCUGUCAGAGCCAUUUUGUAUAGAGCUAUAGAUAAUGGUGAUGUUCCCAGUACUAACUUAAUAGAAAACUCAACCUCUUUCAUCGAUGGCAACCCAGGUAACUCUUUUGGAAACACAUCUGAAUAUUCACAAACCACUGUCAUUGAUUCAAUAUUCAAUUUAGACACUUUUGUAUCCAGUACAUUUGAAAGGUAAGCAUCGCAACCUUUUCUCACAUACUUCUGUGCUAACAUAGCCGAUAUCAAAAUAGGCAACCCACUUGAAUUAUCAGAUCAAUACGAAGAGUCUCAACAUUCUGACAUUUUAAUACAAUAAGCUUUCGUCUAUAGUUUACAAUAGCAUCAUGCAAAGUCAGUCAAUCCAUCCCCAAAAUCACAUCGAAUUCAUCAAACGGUAAAAGCAUCAAAUCGGCCAAAAAACUGUAACCUUGAGUCAUCAAAGGACAAUUCUUGUAAACUUUACCAAUUAGUACAUACUAACUGUCAAAACCACCUUGUUUUUAAAAAUAAAUAUUUGGUUGUUGACUUAAAAAUGAAAAUUGGAGUCGCCACCGAUCUCUUAAAGAGGCGUGAUCGGAUCACCUUGAAAAUGAUUUUAGGUCUAUGAAUUUUGAGAAAAUAGGUUCGGGAGUCAGUUACGCACGAAGAAGGGUUAGCACCCUCGUAACGCCCAAAAUUGGUACCGAAUUGAUUGUUUAAUGUCUUAGUGUCGGGAAUUUGAAAAGAUUUUAAAAUACGAUCCUUCCUGUUUUAUUAAUGUUAAUUUUAUAAAAGAUGCUUGGAUAAAUCGAUGUGAAUGCUAAAGACCUUCUCAUCUCGGAGUAAUGAAAUGUUAUGCCCAAUACAUUAGGACAUGACAUUUUUAGUCCUCGAGAAUGAGCUUGUCUUUUGAUUUUGAAAACUCUUGUGGUGAAGUCAAAAAGGGAUAUUCAAUUGCUUUAAGUCAGAUGAAAAAUUGAAACCCAAUACGUUAGGGCACAAUUUCUCAAAAUUCCUAGCAUUGAAUAUAUCCCUUAUUAUUAUUAAAAAUCUUCAUUUCGAGAAAACGACAUGUCACAUCCAAUACAUUAGGACAUGACGUAUCAAAUUCCGGAGAAUGAGUUUUUAUUUAUGUGUUUUGAUUAAACAAAAUGUUCGAUUCUUUAGAUUCAUCGAGGAAAAUUAGAACCCAAUACGUUAGGGCUCAAUUCUCUCGAGGAUUCCAAAUUUCGAGUAUUGCGUUAUUUUGAAAGUUUUUGGAUAAAUUGGUUUUGAUACUUAAAUGAUAUUAAACGUAAUUCUUUUGAACGAAAUAAAAAAAAGAUUGGAUAACGAUGUACAAUGCGAGAUGAUGAUUCAUAAACUAAAACAUAUACUAAUGAAUGUUAAACAAUCAAUAAAUAUAAAUAAACAAUACAAUAUAACAAUGGUAAGAAUCUCAUGUUAUAUGUUGGUAGAUAUUAAUACCAAAAGCUAAAGAAUUAAAAGGAAUAUCAAAUAAAUUAAUAUAAACAAUCUUUGAAAUAAACUAAAAAAUGAAUAGCAUACAAUGGCGGAAAUUGAAAAUUAUUGAUAAAUCACAUGCAUAAAAUUUUAUCACAAACAAUAUAUAUAUAUAUGAGUUUGAAAUAGAUUUAAAGGAAGAUAAAAAGAAAUACUAUGUUAAAUUAUAAUAUUAAAAUGAAUUUUAAAGUAAAUAAAAAUAUAUGUGUAAUACACCAAAUAAUAUACAUACAUUAAUCUAAAUAAGUAACAUAUAUAUGAAAUGAAAAGUUUAAUAAUAAUGCAAAUAAUACUAGAGUUAAUAAAUAAUAAUAUUAUUAAAUUAAUUGAUAAAAAACACGAAAGGGAUUAAAUUAAAUUAAAAAUAGAAUUAAAAGAACCACAUGAAAAUAAAAUAAGGUAAAGGGGACGAAUGCAAUGCGCGGAUAACUUGGGGGACCAAGUGGGAAAUAAUCCCCGUCCCUCCAAAAUGCAGCAUAUAAUCUGGGCCAAGAUGCAACAAAAAUAAAACAUAGGGGCUAAAUUUAAAAGGAAUAAAAAUAUCUAUUUAAACACGCUAUAAUAAUCAAGGGACCACUUGCGCAAAUCGCCCAACAAGGGUCAAAACGUGCGGAUCCUUCCCCGGGUCGAGUCACCACGUGGGUCGUAGGCCUCUAAACAGCACCGUUUUGAAACCAUUGCCUCGGCAUCAAAUGACAUCGUUUCCUGCACUGCCUAUAAACUAAAAACCUAAGUAUCAGCAGCCCCUUUUUCUUUUGAAGGAAAACCUAAGGCAGAGGAGCACCCCCCAUGCGCCGCUUCAACGUCGGAGUCCCACAACCAUCUGGUUCUGAUCGGAACCAACGAGGGAUUCAACGGCAGACUUAACCAGGUACGGGCUCUUCCCCUCUUUAUUUUGCUACUCGGUUUAUGAAAACAAAUCCAAAGAAAAAAAGAAAAAUAAUAAAGAAGAGAAAAAGGGAAAUCGGAAUCAGAAAUCACCUCAAAAGUAUGCUAUCUUUCUGUUUUUUUUUGAAAUUUUUUUGUAUCUUUGUAUUGAUAUUGUGGGUGUCCGUAAAAAAAUUACAAUGCAUUUGUCCUCUGUUUUAUAGGCCGAAAGUAAAAGAAAAAACCAAAAUAAGAAAUACAAUAUUUUUUCUUUUCUUUGUUGUGUUAUUUUUCGUCUUCUUUGUAGGUACGGGCGUACGGAGGAAGAUAUGGCAUGUGCGGAGGAGAUGCACGCGCGCAGAGGCGCACAACGCGCAAGGGAGCCUUGGGUUUGACUGCGGCGUUGUUGGCUGUUGAAGGCUGCCCUAGGGUUUGGUUCUGCUUUUUUUUGUGUAAUGGGCUUAGGGUUAGGUGUAUUGGGUUAGUGAGUUUGGGCUGGGGUUAUGGUUUAUAAAUCGGGCUUGAAUUUUAGGUAAUUCGGGUUUAGGCCUGCUAUUGUAAAAACUGGACUGCUAUUGGACUUUAAUAAUUAUUUUUUACUUAAUUUUUAUUAUCUAUAUUGGGCCAUUCAAAAUUGGCUAUUACACUAACCUAAGGGGUUUGACCUUUUAACCACGAAUUCAGUGGACUCAACAGGUAAACACUUACUACACACUAAAUUUGUACACACAUAAGAAUGUGUUGAUCCAGAAUCAAUCAAAGUAGUUACAUCAGUGUUAUAGAGAGAAAAAAAUAUUGGUGAUAAUAUUUGGCACUGAUGCAUCUUCUCGAGCGCGAAUAGCGUAAGCUUUGACUGGCGCCCGUGCCUUGGAUCUCAUAGCAGAAUCCUUUGUUACACCUCGGCUACCACUUAUAUUGUCAGUAUUUCGGGGUGGUCUCCUCCUUGCAACUGUAUUGCUCGGUUGAGCAGUCAAAAUUUUAUCUUUCUCGGGUAACUCAGGAUAACUAUGGAUAAAAAUCUCCUGCAAUCCGCAUCUAAAACAAGCUAUAUCAUUCAUCCAACGUUCUCCAAAAUGUCGCCUACCACACCGUUGACAUUCAGGUUCGUUAGCCUUUACAAUACCAACACUCGCUACUGAAGUAGCUUAAACUUUUGAACCUGCGUAUUGUUUGCCACGACCUCUGCUGGGAUACCCCACUGAAACGGUCGAACGGUUAUGAAAAUCCUUCAAUUUCUUUGACGAUGAAUGGUAUAAUUUACCCGUUGACCUUUUUCUCAAAUCUCUAGCCUCAGAAUCGGCUCUUCUCUUUUCUUUGCUAGGCUCAUCGGCUUUGUGAGCUUUAUCAACUAAAACCAAAAAUUCAUUAAGUUCAAGUAUUCUGACUAAAAGCUUAAUAUCUUCAUUCAACCCAUUUUCAAAUCGUUUACACAUAACCACCUUGGUUGGAAUGCACUCACGGCAUACUUACUCAGUCUUACGAACUCUCUUUCAUAUUCAUAUAUGGUUAGACGAUCCUGUUUCAACUCUAGAAAUUCCUUGCGCUUUUGAUCAAGAAACUGUUGACUUAUAUAUUUUUUUGAACUCUGUCUGAACGAAUUCCCACGUGACCCGUUCUCUUGGUACUACAGAUAUUAACGAGCUCCACCACUAAUAUGCGACAUCUUUCAGAAGAGACACAACACAUUUAACAUAUUCUAACGGUGUACAAUACAACUUAUCGAAAACUUAGAUUGUAUUCUCUAGCCAAAACUCAGCUUUCUUAGGGUCAUCAUCAACUGUAUCUUUAAACUCUUCAGCCCCAUAUUUCUAAAUUUUAUCUACUGGCGGUUUGCUCAUACGUACCGGUUCUAAAACUUGAGGAGUUAUAGGGACUGAUUGGGAAAAAGGUGGGGGUGGAGGUUGCUGAGCAGCCAGAUUAGUUCAGACAAAGUCAGUGAACCACUCAUUAAUCAUCUGGAAGAAAACUUCCUUAGCCUCUCCUCCACGACCCUCAGACACAGGUCUAGACCCAGACGAUGCUGCCCCACGAACGGAGGCCGGUAUGUUACUUUCAAUAUCAUCGGAGUCUGCUCGAUUGGAACUCAUUACUAUAUAAAAAACAUGAUUUUAAACUGUUAGGAGAUGUUACACUAUGACAGGUUAUAAAAUGGCAUGUAUAGCUAGACUCACAUUCGCUACGUUAGUCUGAGUAUGGACUAAAUAGUAGCUCUGAUACCAAUAAAUGUAACACCUUUAACCCGUAUCUGACGCCGAAACAAGGUUACGGAGCAUUACCGGACUUAUAGAUCAAAUAAUUAAAUAAUUCGAAUUCAUUUCUCAUUCAAUUUAAAAAAAUUCAUAGACAGUCAUAUAGUCCUUAAUACAAGCCCUCGAGGCCCAAUAUAAACAUUAAAAGUGGUUUGAGACUAAACCGAGUACUUGAGAAAAUUUUCAAAAAACAUAGAAAAUUUUCAAAGUGCAGGGGACACACGCCUGUGUGGCUAGAUCGUGUAGGCAUUUGAAAUGGGGAAACAUGGUUGUGUCCCAUCCCGUGUCCAAACCCAUGUAACUCAGUGACCUGGGUCACACGGUCAGACCACACGCUCGUGUGCCAUGUUGUGUACCCUUCGAAAUGGCCUCGCACGCCUGUGUGUCAGGCUGUGAGCUAGGCCGUGUGAAAACUGGAGAGUAUACUGACUUGUUUCACAUGACCAAGCCACACGCCCAUGUGCUAGGCCGUGUGAAGCUACUGACUUGAUUUCUAUAGAAGUAUCAGGGGACACAAGGCCGUGUCACCUGGCCGUGUGUUAAACACAACUGAGACACACGCCCGUGUGGACAAAAAUAGACUAUUUUCCAAGCCAUAUUUCUCACCCAAUUUGGUACCAACCUAAGCUCAACAAUGUUCAUACAACCAUGGCAUAAAUAGGCAUUCAAAACCAACCAAUAUAAAGUUUAUAACAUGUUAUAAUAUCAUACACAAUCAUAAUUGUAACAGCCUAAUUUUUAGUGAUGUCGAAAAUAGUAGUUCGAGACCACCAAAUCUGACAAGUGAGUUUGAAAAUUUUAUUAUUUAGUGUUUAUGAGCAAUUUAUGAAUUUAGGAAGGCAUAUGAAUUAGUGAUUUGUGCUUAAGAAAUAUUUAUUAAAUUAAUUGGUUUCAAAAUCGAGGAACCGAGACCUCAAUUUUAUAAACUGAGCCGUAAAUAUUUUUAUAAAUAUUUACGGAGUGUCAUUGAGUUAGUAUUAAAGAUUCGUCAGAAAAUUUUAAUGUUUUAAUAGUUAAUUCAGUAAAAAGAACUAAAUUGAAAAAGGUACAAAACUAAUUAAUUAAGAGAAAUAGGGAUUAAAUAGCUUAAGUGGUAAAUAAGGAAGGACCAAAAAGGUAGUUAUACAUUUAUUAGAAGGCUGAAACGAUAGGUGCAUAGAAAAAUCUUGAAAUGUGAUGACUUAGGGGCAAAGUGAUCAUUUGGAAAUUAAAAUAAAGAUAAAACAAUUGACUAAAUUGAAUUCUAGACAUUUAUUUUUCUAAUUUUCAGUCCAAAAAUGGCAUUGAAGGUCCUCUAAGCUAGUUUUUAUAUUUUUGCACCAUGUGAGUUCAAUUCUUGCUUUCUUCUUGAAAUUUUUGUGUUUUUAAGACUUCUACAAUUAUGUCCAACUAUCUAAUUCAUGAGUUAUUGAUUCUAUGGGUAAUUUUAAAAGUGACCAUUGAUGUGUGCUGGAUGUUUAUGAUGAAUUAACAUGGAUUUGAAGCUUGAAUUUUGUUAUAUGAUGAUUUUAUCAAGUAAUUUCAAUAAAAAUUAAUUUUAUAACCUAAUUGUGAAAAAUAUUAAAUCCUUGGGUUUGGCAUUAAAUUUUGUUUGUCAAAGGCUGUGAAGGAGCUUAGAAUAUUUGGAUAAAUCGUCAAUUGAGAAGAAAUAGGUCAUUUGAUAGCUUAAUUGGUGAGGGACUAAAUUGUAAAAAUUGUAAAAGUUGGGGUAAUUGUAUAAUUUUAAAAAUUGAGGGGUAUAAAUUGUGAAGUGGACUGAAAUUGAAAUAUAUGCUACUGAAUCAAAAAUUUUACAUUUUAGAUCAAAAGCUUGUAGACCAAUGAGAAAAAGGGAUAUAUUGGUGUAUUGAUUGCUUGGUUGGGUUAUAUUAGUGUAUGUGAAUGUUGUAUGCAGGUUGAUGUUAAAAUGCAUGUGUAAGUGGCCUUAAAAUGACCUAUUUUCAUCCACACGGGUAGAGACACGGGCAUGUGUCUCAGCCGUAUGUGACACACGGCCAUACGUACGGGCGUGUGGUUUGACUGUGUGUCCCCUACACCUAAUUUUCAAAAAAUAAAUUGUCCACAAGGCCUAGCACACGAGCGUGUGGUUGGCCGUGUGACCCAAGUUAAAGAGUUACACGGGUAAAGAUACGGGCUGAGACACGAUCGUGUGUCUCACAUCGAAUGCUCACACGGCCGAGGACACGGGCGUGUCAUUUGGUUCACAUGGCCUGGCCACACGGGCGUGUGUACCUUGCAUCUAGGAAAAAAUUUAAAAUUUUGUGAAAAAUUAUUUGAGUUCCCGAUUUAUUUCUAAUGCCUAUUUUGGACCUCAAGGGCCCAUUUAAAGGGACCAUAUGAUAUAAUAUGUUUGAUUUCAGUUAUAAAUGGUAAAUGAUAUGAAUUAAUUGAAAUUAUUCUGUAAACUCCGGUAAUGCUUCGUAACCCUGUUCCACUGACAGAUAUGGGUUAAGGGUGUUACAUUUGUUGGUAUCGGAGCCUCGAUUUAAUUGAUUCUCGGAACGAAUGUAAUGUGUAAAGUGUCUAGAAAUACAUGCCAUAUAAAUCUGUGAUAGUGUGAUGUGUAUGAUCCGAUCUAAUCCUUAUUUUUCUUAUAGAUUGUAAAGAUGUCAGAUAGAUCUGAACAUACUUAACAUGAUGAAGCUAAUAGUAGAGUACAACCAUCUGAGCAUGGGACAAGUAGUAGUGUCCCAAUUUCUCCAACGCAAGAACAAGAACUUAAAAAUAUGUUCUAUGGGUUUAUGAACCAAUAGUUUAAUAAAUUUAUGAAAGAAAGAAAUCAGGCUCAGCAACCAUCUCCCCCUACUGCACCAUCUGUAGAGCCUCCGGUUGCACCUCCACCUCCUCUAGUAAGUGAAUCAAGUAAACGUACUCUGAUAGAAAAACUCAGAAAGUUUAGGGUUGAAGAAUUUCGGGGUAGGUCAGAUGAUGACCCAGUUAAAGCUUCAUAUUGGCUUCAGAAUACAGUAAGAUUUUUUGAAGAAAUGGCUUGUUCCCCAGAUGGUUAUUUGAGAUGUGUUGUUUUCUUACUGAAAAAUGAAGCAUAUAAUUGGUGGAUGACUAUAGUGGCUAUGCCGCCGAAAGAGAAAAUCACUUAGGAAUUUUUCCAGAGUGAAUUCAAAAAGAAAUUUGUUGGCAAGACAUAUUUGGAUAAAAAGAAGAGGGAAUUUCUUGACUUGCGACAAGGUAAUUGAUUGAUAGCUGAGUACGAAAGGGAAUUCAUAUACCUCAACAGAUAUGCUCGGGAGAUUGUACUAACCAAAGAAGAAAUGUGUAUUCAGUUUGUGGAAGGAUUGAAUGAUGAAAUUAGAAUAGUGAUUGGGGGCGUUGAAAUAAGGGAAUUUGUUUUUCUAUCAGAUCGUGCUCAAAAGAUGGAAGAAGUGUACAAUAGAAAGGUGUAGAGAGAUAGACGAAAUAAAGAAUCAUAUAGGAGAAGCUCCUCCAAAUCAUUUUUAGCAUUUCUGGCUCAAAAACCUAUAGAGGAAUUCAAUCAAGCUACUUCAAUGUCUGAACGAUCAAAUAAGAAUAAGACGACUCAACAAGAUUACGAGAUGACUAUUAGACUCACGGUUAGUGUGGGUAGUGUGCAAAAUGUUCGUAAGCCCAAAUGUAAAUAUUGUGGGAAACCUCACUUCGAUGAAUAUAGAGGCAAGACGGGAGCUUGCUACAAAUGUGGGGACACUGAUAAUUUUAUUCGAGAUUAUUUUCAGCUAUAAAAAGAGGAGGAAGAAUAAAAAGAAAAGCAAUUAGCCACUUCCCAAAGAAGUAAAUGUUUAGAAUAAAAUAGUGUUACUGGGGCUACUCGUUCGAAUAUGAGAGAUAAGGUUGUUUUGUCAAAAACUAAAGCGUCGACAUGUACUUAUGCUAUCCGAGCAAGAGAAGAAGCUAUAGCUCUAAACGUAAUUGAUAGUACAUUCUAUCUUUUUGAUGUUACUAUAUAUGCAUUGAAUGACCCUGGGUCUACAUAUUCUUAUGUUUGCAUUGCAUUAGCAAUAGAAAAGAAAUUGUUUGUUAAACCUACUGAUUAUGAUGUUCAAGUCACCAAUCCAUUAGGCUAAAGUGUAAUAGUUAAUUUAGUGUGUCGUGACUGUCCACUGAAAAUAAAAGGCUGUGAAUUUCCUGUUGAUUUGAUGUUACUACCUUUUCGGGAAUUUGAUGUUAUUUUGGGUAUGGAUUGGUUGACGAAGCAUGAUGCUGUAGUAAAUUGUAGAGAAAAAUAGAUUGAUUUGAAAUGUUAGACAGGAGAGAUGAUUACUGUUGAGUCUGCAAAUCUGAAAGAAAUUGUUAGAAUUAUUUAAGCUUUUUCAGCUCAGAGAUUAAUGCGGAAUGGUAAUGAGGCAUUUUUAGCCUACAUUCUUGAUACUCAGGGUUUUGAAUCGAAGUUAGAACAAUUACCAAUUGUUAAUGCAUUUGCUGAUUUGUUUCCUGAGGAAUUGUCGGGUUUACCACCUGAUCGUGAAGUUGAGUUUGUAAUUGGCGUGAUUUCGGGAACAGCUCCGGUAUCGGUAACACCAUACCGAAUGUCACUAGCUGAGUUAAUGGAAUUAAAGAUACAGUUGCAAGAAUGAUUAGAUAAAGGGUUCAUCAGACCGAGUAUGUCUCCUUGAGGUGCACCUAUCUUAUUUGUGAAAAAGAAAUAUGGUUCUUUGAGAUUGUGUAUAGACUAUAGACAGUUGAACAAGGUUACAAUUAAAAAUAAAUAUCCUUUGCCUCGUAUUGAUGAUUUAUUUGAUCAACUGAAGGGUGUUGUAGUAUUUUCGAAGAUAGACCUCAGAUCCGGUUAAAGAGUGUAAUGUGCCAAAGGCUACUUUCAGAACUAGGUAUGGUCAUUAUGAGUUUUUAGUAAUGCCAUUUGGUUUGACCAAUGCUCCUGCUGCUUUCAUGGAUUUAAUGAAUCGAAUUUUUCAACCUUAUUUGGAUAGAUUUGUGGUUGUAUUUAUUGAUGAUAUACUGAUGUAUUACAAGACAGAAUUUGAGCAUACACAACACUUGAGAAUUGUGUUACAAACUUUGAGGGAGAAACAGUUGUAUGCAAAGUUCAGUAAAUGUGAAUUCUGGCUUCAUGAGGUCAGAUUUCUGGGUCAUCUUGUGUCAGCUGAAGGGAUUCGAGUAAAGUAUCUGCAGUGGUGAAUUGGAAAACUUCGAAGAAUAUAAAGAAGUGCGAAGUUUUCUAGGUUUUGCAGGAUAUUACCACCGUUUUGUUAAGAACUUUUUGAUGAUUGAUUUGCCGAUGACUCGACUACUACAGAAAAAUGUUGAAUUUGUUUGGUCUGAUGAGUGUCACAAGAGCUUUGAUCAAUUGAAGAAAAUGUUAACAUAAGCUUCAGUCUUGACUCAACCAGAAUCGGGUGUACCGUAUGUUGUAUAUAGUGAUGCGUCUCAAAAUGGAUUGGAUUGUGUACUGGUGUAGUUAGGAAAGGUAGUAGCCUAUGCUUCUCGGUAAUUAAAAUCACAUGAGAAGAAUUAUCCUACACAUGAUCUUGAUUUGGCUGCAAUUGUAUUUGCUUUAAAGAUUUGGAGACAUUAUUUAUACGGCGAGAAGUGUUAUGUGUUUACGGAUCACAAAAGUUUGAAAUAUUUGAUGACUCAAAAAGAGUUGAAUUUGAGAUAGAGACAGUGGCUAGAAUUACUAAAAGAUUAUAACCUGGUUAUUGACUUCCAUCCAAGAAAGGCUAGUGUGGUUGCGGAUGUUAUCAGUCGAAAGUCGUCCUUGUUUGCACUUUGAGCAAUGAAUGCUCAUUUAUCUCUUAAUGAAGAUGGUUCUGUAUUAGUAGAAUUGAGAAUGAAAUUUUUAUUCCUUCAACGGAUUCAGGAGUUGCAAGAUAAUGACCAGAAAUUGGUAUUGAAAAGACACAUGGUUCGGAACAAGUUGAGUUCAAAGUAUAUCAUUGAUGAUAGCGGUAUGUUACGCUAUCGCAAUAGAAUUUGUGUUCCAAAUAAUUCAGAUUUGAAAAAUGACAUUCUUUCUAAAGUUCUUAGUAAUAUGUAUUCCAUUCAUCCGGGUAGUAUGAAGAUGUAUUUUGAUUUGAAAAAAAUGUAUUAGUGGCCGGGUAUGAAAUGAGAAAUCUGUGAAUUUGUAGCUAUGUGUUUGGUUUGUCAGCAAGUGAAAGUAGAACAUCAAGUACCAACGGGUUUGUUACAACCUGUCAUGAUUCCUGAGUGGAAAUGGGAGCAUGUCACUAUAGAUUUUGUAUCUAGAUUACCUAUGACUUCGAGAAAGAAAGAUUCGAUCUAGGUGAUUGUUGAUAGAUUGACUAAGUCGACACAUUUUAUCCCGGUCAGAACAGACUUUUCACUUGAGAAGUUAGCAGAAUUAUAUAUGUCUGAGAUUGUAAUACUACACGGGGUCUGACAUCUAUUAUUUUGGAUCAAGAUUCGAGGUUUACAUCAAGAUUUUGGAGUAAACUGCAAGAAGCUCUGGGUACUAAGCUAAGUUUUAGUAUAGCAAUUCAUCCUGAGACUGACGGGCAAUCAGAACGAGUGAUUCAAAUUCUAGAAGACAUGUUGAGAUGUUGUAUACUCAAGUUUGGAGAUAGCUGGAAAAGGUAUUUACCCUUAGCUGAAUUUGUCUAUAACAAUAAUUAUCAGUCUAGUAUAAAAAUGACACUAUUUAAAGCUCUUUAUGGAAGGAAAUGUAAGACUCCAUUGUAUUGGUCUGAACUUAGUGAAUCCAAGUUAGUGGGUGUCGACUUGAUCCAAGAAACUGAAGAAAAAGUUCGGAUUAUCCGGGACAGUUUGAAGGUUGCGUCUGAUCGUCAGAAAUCAUAUGAAGAUUUGAAAAGAAAAUAUAUAGAAUUUGUGGUUGGUGAUCGAGUGUUUUUAAAAGUCUCUCUUUGGAAGAAAGUACUACGAUUCGGUAGGAAAGGAAAACUGAGCCCAAGAUUUAUUGAACCAUAUGAAAUUGUUGAAAGAAUUGGCUCUAUGGCUUAUAGAUUAGCUCUACCUACGGAACUUGAGAAAAUUCAUAAUGUGUUUCAUAUAUCAAUGUUGAGACGGUACAGAUCUGAUCCUUCAUACGUGAUUCCUCAUAGUGAAAUUGAGCUACAACCAGAUAUGGCGUACUCGGAAGAACCGAUGAAGAUUUUGGUGCAAGAGGUUAAAGAAUUACGGAAUAAACGAGUACCGUUAGUUAAAGUGUUGUGGCAUCGUCAUGGUUCAGAGGAGGUAACCUGGGAAAUAGAAGAAUUGAUGAGAUUACAGUAUCCAAGCUUAAUCUCAGGUAACAAAUUUUGAGGACGAAAUUUCCUAAAGGAGGGAGAGUUGUAACAGCCUAGUUUUCAGUGAUGUCGGAAACAGUGGUUCCAGACCACCAAAUCUGACAAGUGAGUUCCAAAAUUUCAUUGUUUAGUGUUUAUGAGCAAUUUAUGAAUUUAGGAAGGCUUAUGAAUGAGUGAUUUGUGCUUAAGAAAUAUUUAUUAAAUUAAUUGAUUUUGAAAUCGAGGAAUCGAGACCUCAAUUUUAUAAACUGAGCCGUAAAUAUUUUUAUAAAUAUUUACAGAGUUUCAUUAAGUUAAUAUUAAAGACUCGUCAGAAAAUUUUAACGUUUUGAUAGUUAAUUUAGUAAAAAUGACUAAAUUGAAAAAGGUGCAAAACUAGCUAAUUAAGAGAAAUAGGGAUUAAAUAGCUUAAGUGGUAAAUAAGGGAGGACCAAAAACACAAUUAUGCAUUUAUUAGAAGGCUGAAACGGUAGGUGAAUAGAAAAUUCUUGAAAUGUGAUGACUUAGGGGCAAAAUGGUCAUUUGGGAAUUAAAAUAAAGAUAAAACAAGUGACUAAAUUGAAUUCUAGACAUUUAUUUUUCUAAUUUUUAGUCCAAAAACGCCAUUGAAGGUCCUCUAAGCUGGUUUUGCAUAUUUUUCCACCAUGUGAGUUCAAUUCUUUCUCCUUUCUUGAAUUUUUUGUGUUUUUAAGACUUUUACAAUUAGGUCCAACUAUCUAAUUCAUUAGUUUUUGAUUCUAUGGGUAAUUUUGAAAGUUACCAUUGAUAAUUUUUGGAUGUUUAUGAUGAACUAACAUGUAUUUGAAGCUUGAAUUUUGUUAUAUGAUGAUUUUAUCAAGUAAUUUCAAUAGAAAUUGAUUUUAUGACCUAAUUGUGAAAAAGAUUAAAUCCUAGGGUUUGGCAUUAAAUUAUAUUUUUCAAAGGCUGUGAAAUAGCAUAGAAUAUUUGGAUAAAUCAUCAAUUGAUAAAAAUUAGGUCAUUUGAUAAGCUAAUUGGUGAAGGACUAAAUUGUAAAAAUUGUAAAAAUUAGGGUAAUUGUGUAAUUUCAAAAAUUGAAGGGUAUAAAUUCUAAAGUGGACUGAAAUUGAAAAAUAUGCUAAUGAAUGAAAAAUUUUACAUUUUAGAUCAAGAGCCCGUAGACUAAUGAGAAAAAAGGAAAUUAGCCGAAUAGUCCCCGAAUUACUACAAACUUUACAAUUUAAUUCAGGUAAGUUCAUAUGGUUAAAAUUUCAUGAUUAUUUGUUAAUUUAGGAAUGAUAUAAUGUAUUUAUUCGUAUUUUGUUGUUGAAAUUAAGAUUAUUGUAAAAGUAUGAAAAUUGAAUUGAACGUUUAAAAUGAGUAGAAAGUGGGAUUGAGUACGAUCGUUUCGUGGCAAAUGAUAAAUUGAUAGAUAAAACCAUAGUUGGACCAUGUCCGUGUUUAAAUGUAAGACCAUAGCUGGGCUAUGGCAUUUUAAUGAAAAGACCAUAACUGGGUUAUGAGACCUUGAAUGUAAGACCAUGGUUGGAUCAUGGCAGUAUAUAUAUAUGUGUAAGACCAUAGCUAGGCUUUGGCAUUCUGAUGAUAAGACCAUAACUGGGUUAUGGCACUACGGAUGUAAGACCAUGGCAGGGCCAUAACAAUGCAUGUGUAAGACCAUAGUUGGACUAUGGCACAAAGAAAAACGAUGUACUCAUAUUCGCAAGUCGUUCUUCGAUUUAGUAAGAAAUAGUAAAAGACUUAUGUGAUUGAAUUGAAAGAUCUAUUGAUUAUUAUUGAUAUUGGUCUGAAGGAAGUGUGUUUAUCGAUUUAUAUUGUAUUUAUUAUAUUAAGUUCGGUAAGAUCAAUGUUUAAUCUAUUGAACUUACUAAGCUUCAAUAAGCUUACUUGUGUGUUUAAUGUUCUUGUAGACUAACGUGUGGUCGGGAGAUCGGAUCAACACAUCAAGUCUAACUAUCCAGUUUAAUCCAGUAGUUUUUGCAAUGUAAAUGUUUGUAUGUAUGUAUUUAGUAACAGAAUUUGAUAAAUCUAUGAAAUGAGUUAAAUAGGUAAGUAAAAGUAAUUGAAAUAUUAGUGAUGUUAUGUCAUGUUGAGAACAUGUUUUAGCUUGUAUUAAUUGCUUGGUUGGGAUAUAUUGGUGUAUGUGAAUGUUGUAUGCAGGUUGAUGUCAAAAUAGGUGAGUAAAGUGGCCUUAAAAUAGCCUAUUUUUGUCUAUACGAGCAGAGUCACGAGCGUGUGUCUCAACCGUGUGUGACACACGGCCAUGGUCACAGGCGUGUGGUUUGGUCGUGUGUCCCCUGCACCUAAUUUUUGAAAAAUAAAUUGUCCACACGGCCUAGCACACGGGCAUGUGGUUGGCCGUGUGACCCAAGCCAAAAAGUUACACAAGUAAGGACACGGGUUAGGAGAUGGUCGUGUGUUUCACAUCGAAUGCCCACACGGUCUGGGACACGAGCGUGUCAUUUGGCUGUGUGAACCACACGGCCUUGCCAGACGGGCGUGUGUCCCCUGCAUCUAGGAGAAAUUUUGAAAUUUCACGAAAAAUUUUCUGAGUUCCCAGUUUAAUCUCGAUUUGUUUCUAAUGUCUAUUUUGGACCUCGAGGGCAUAUUUAAAGGGACUAUAUGAUAGAAUAUGUUUGAUUUCGGUUAUAAAAUGGUAAAUGACAUUAAUUAAUUGAAAUUAUUCUGUAAACUCUGGUAAUACUCCGUAACUCUGUUCCGGCGACGGAUAUGGGUUAGGGGUGUUACAAUGAUACUCUUAGGUACCUCAAAAGACCAUUUAUAACAUGCCAAAAUAUGCUUCCAAAAUAUACCUAAAUGGUCAACACAUAUAUGAGACAUUGUGCCUAAAUUCAACAUGCAUACCACAUAUCAAUUUCAACCAUUUGGUACCCAAAAUACUAAAUCACAAACAAGGCAUUCACAUAGCCACUAUAUACCACAUACCAUAAGGUCAUUUAUACAUAUUUACAUAACCAAACAUAUACCAUUUUCAAGCCAAAUUAAAUGGCCAAAACACAACAAGAAAUAUAGGCGACAUUAGCCAAAACACCUUUACAUGCCAUUUACCUAAAAUAUAAAGUUCAAAGUACCAAAAUGAGUAUUUGAUAGUGUGACGCGAUCUCUGAUAACUUCCAAACCGAGUGAGCUUCUGAAUCACUAUAAAACACGGAAAUUAAAACGGAGUAAGCAAUUAAGCUUAGUAAGUUCGUAUGACUAAUAAAUACAACUUAACAAAUCAUCCACAAUUUAGGUAAACAAAAAUAAAAGUAUAGAUGCGACUUAGUUUGGCCCAAAGCCUAUCACACAAUCACAACAUGUUAGCAAUGUAUUUAUAUAUCAAAUAUAAAUCACUUCGCGUAUUUCACAUAAAUACCUGUACUAGUUCGCAUUGAACUCAUGUAAUCUCAAAUCAUCACUGUGCCCGUUGAACCAUUUGGAAUACUAUCGGAUACUCGGGUAUCUCACACACUAAGUGUCAAUACGUGGUCGAAACCACAUCUAUCUCAUAUCUCAUAUAAAUACUCACUUUCGAGCCAUCACUAGGUCUGCUCAUACAAGCUGUCAGUCAAGACGUAGCUACAUGGUGCUGUUCACACAAGCUAUAAAGUAACCACAACACAUGUCGAAAACUCAGCCACCGGUAGGACGUACAGGACCAGCACCCAAAACACGGUAACCCCUAAUGACAUGUCAUUUGUAUACUAUCUAUUCCUAAGGUUCAAUUGGGAUUCAUUUGUUGCCGAUACCUUGUCGAGAAUUUUCGUGGAGUCAUAUCAUCACAAUUAUUUUAAUUAAGCAUUUAAAACACAUAUAAUUUAUUGCUUAUUAAACAUACAAACUUACCUCGAAUUAGUACGGAGACAAUUGAUCGAUUAAUCCACUACUUUGUCUUUUCCUUGAUUUAAUUCUGAGUGUUUCUUUUCUUGAUCUAUAUAUAGCAAAUUUAACUAAUUUAAUUCACAUUCAACUCAAGUCAAUCCAAAAUUCAUGUUAUGGCAAAAUUAUCAUUUUGCCCCUAUACUUUUGACUUCUUUACAAUUUAGUCCCUAGGCUCGUAAAAUGAAAUUCAUGCAAUUUCAUCAACAUCUAAGCCUAGCUGAAUUUACUAUAUACUUAUAGCAGCCCACACACUCCACAAAUUGACAUAUUUAACACACAAUUUUCACAUUUCACAAUUUAACCCCUAAUUGGUAAUUUCAUUAAAAUUCCUUUAACAAAAGUUGUUUAUUUAACAACAAAGUUUCAUUUUCUUCCAUUAAACUUCAAAAUCCUAGCAUUUUCAUCAAUGGAAAAUCUCAAACUAUUCAAUAGUUUUGCAAAUUAGUCCCCUAGUUAGCUAGGUUAAGCUACAACGAUCCCGAAAACAUAAAAAUCGUAAAAAACGGGCUUAAAAAUCACUUACGUGUAAGGGUUUAAGUUGCUGAAAUUUUGAGCUCUCCAAUGGCUAUUUUCUUGGUGAAAAAGCAGUGGAAGAUGAAGAAAGAAUGAAGCAUUUUUCUUUUGUUUUAUUUAAUUUACUAUUAAUUACCUAAUUACCAUUUUUCCCUUACCUAACUUCAAAAACUACUCAAUUACCAAGCCAUGCACAUCCACUAACUCAUUUAAUGGUCUAGUUACCAUUUAAGGACCUCCAUUGUAAAUUUCUAUAGCUAUUUAACACAUUUAGCUAAUAGAACACAACUUUCACACUUUAGGCGAUUUAGUCCAUUUUUGCAAAUCGAGCAUACCAACGAUAAAAUUUCUUAACAAAUUUUUUAUACAAUAAUACUAUCAUGCUUUAGACCACAAAAUAAUAUUAAAAUAAAUUUUACGACCUCAUAUUUGUGGUCCCAAAAUCACUGUUCCGAUUUCACUGAAAACGGCCCGUUACAUGUUAAAUUCUUAUGCAUGCCCUUUUGAAAGUGAAUAGUAUUGGUUGUUUUGACAUGUUUUAGGCUUUUUUAAAUGUGUUUUUAAAGUAUGGAUAUGGUUAGUUUUGAUUGGGCUUGGAACCUGGGGGUUAGAUGAAAGUUUGCCUUGUUUUAAUUUUUGGGUGCAGGAUUUUUCACACGGUCACAGUUAGUUACACAAUCUGGCCACACAGGCAUGUGGGGAGGCCACGCAGCCUAGGCUAUACCACACAGCCUGGCCACACGACCGGGGUUGACAACACAUCUCAAACAAUCAUCAGGGGUACAAGCCAUUUCAUCGAAAACUCUCUAUGUGUUCUCCAGCCAAUAUUCAGCCCUGACCGGAUCAUCUUCCGCUUUUCCUCGGAACUCUUUAGCCCCACAUUUUCUGAUCUUAUCUAUCGGAGGUUGUCGUACGCUUUUCGUAUUACGAGAAUGAAGCAGUAUUAGAUGAGGCACAAUAGGGGCGGAGGUUGCAGCGUCAUAGGAUUAGUUCUCAUAAAUUCAGGUAACCACCAAUUCAUCAUCCCAAAGAAGACAUUUCUCGCCUCAUUUUCGGGUAUUUGCGAAACGGGGAUACUGUGAUUUGCUUCCUGAUCGGAAGCCGGAACAUUACUAUCUACUUUAUCAAAGACGGUAUGGUUUGAUUGGCCGACAUCUUUUAUAUCUAUAAAAAAAAUAGUCAGAUCGGAUCAAAAGACAUCACAUUAUCAUAAAUUAUCGUGGCAUGUGUUUUCUAGACUCGAUCACACUAUCAUAGUAUGUGUCAUAAGUGAUUAUACAUGAACUUGUUUGACCUUGGGUGAUAUAACCAACUGAGACCAAUGAGAAAAAGGAAGAAAUCCUUCUAAAGGAACCCCCUUAUUAUCAUAUUUAGUUGGAGGCAUACAUCUUCCCAACAAAACUAAAUCUAACUGUUUUUGUGAGCAUUAUGGCUUUGUCAAGAGAUAAAGCCGUGUGAUGGUUAAGGUAAUGACAUAUCUAGUGGUGGAUAUUAAAUCUGGUGUGAUUAUAUUACAUGUUUAUCUGGUAUUGCUGUUGAACGAGGUGUAUGUACUUUAUACCAUCAUGUACUCUUAUCAUUUGUAGCAUGCCUGUAUGCAUUUAAGUAGUUUGUUACUAUUUGUAGAGCGAUUAUAGUGUUUGUGAACAUAAAAUAAGUUGCUCACAGUGUUGGUGUCGUCCGGAUGAGUUGCUUAUUUUUCUAAACUUGCAUCAUUUCAAAUACUUCCGGUAAAUAUUAAGGGCCUAGCUGGGAGUGUAGCGACAUUAGCAAAUUGGCUGACAUCGUAGGUGAUUACUAUGAUGGCAAACUUCUGAACUAGAGUGGUGGAGGUCUUUGCCUCUCCCAAUAUGUGUGUUUAGUUGCAAUGUACAAGUUAAGAAGAAUCUAUAUAAACAAACAUGCUUGCAUCUUAUGAGCAGGAACAUUCACUAUUUACGCGGUUGUGGCGGCAUUCACGGUUGUGUAUGUGGCACUUUGGGGCCCUGAAACCAAAGGGAGUUCAAUCUUCCUUAGAUAAAAACGUUCGUCAGUGUAAUGCAUUUACCGAUUUGAUUUUCAAAAUUGUUAAGAGUACAUAUGCGCAGUUCAUGUCCAGCAAACCUGUACCAUGUAUUGUUUCCUUGUUGUUUGAUAACAUGUUUGCACUACCCUUUUAAAAGGAAAAAAGAAAAAGAAAAAGGAAUUUGUUCUUAAUUAUACAAUCAACUCUGUUUAUAUAUAGAUUUUUUUGUAGACUCAUUUGAAUCCCAAAAUUUAGAUGUUAUAAAGUGGUGAUUACAAUAUGUCUAUAAUUGUAUUCAAGAUACAUUUAUAUCAGCAUAUAAAAUUUAGAUCAUGUUUAAAUUUUUAAAAUUUAAAUUAAAAUAAUAUUAUGUCAAAAGAUUUUUUUUAUUUAAUAAAAUGUUAUUAAUAUAACUUUAAACAUUAAUUGAAAUAUUAUAAUUAAUUUUUUUAUAUUUCAUUUAAGAAUAAAAUUAAUUUUAUUUUAUAAUAAAAAUUGUUAUAAAAAAAUUAUUUAGUAAAUGGUGUGUUUUAUAUUUUAUUGAUGGUAUAGAUGAAAAAAGUUGUUAUAGAUGAUGAAAAUACAAAAAAAAAAAAAUCACAAUAAUUGCACUGUAUAAUUAUUUCUUUGCUAGAAAACUGAAAGGUUUUGUAAUAAAAUAAUAAUCCAGUACAACAAAAGUCCCUUAGCACACACACCCCAGUUCCUCUUCUGUAUUUAUGAGAGCAAAGUUUGGCAUGGGAUUGAAAAACCAUAAACUCAUUUGUUAACUUGUUCAGCAUACAGUGAAGCCAGGAAAUGCUUAAGGCAGCUAUUGUAAACACAAGGUCGCUCCAGAUGAACCAAGUGACCUGCCUUUUGUAUGCCUUUGAAUGUUGUAUUCUCUCCUAGUUGUCUGCAUCAUCAAUAGAAAAUUUUAUAUAUAUAUAUAUAUCCAAUUAUCCAAAAAAAAAAAAAAGAACCCUCAAAUCUAAACUUGUUUUCUAUCUAGUUUUUGAGAUCAUAAAACAUACUCUUUCAUGUUGUAAGCAAGCUCCUGCUUGAAGAUCUGAUCUUCUUCACCCCACAGCAGAUGUAUUCUCUGCAAAAUCAUAAUAUAACAAAACUGGAGUAAGCAAUUUCUUUUCGAAAAAUCUACCAUUAAAAAAACAAAACAAUAAAGGCAAAUGCAGAUAACCUGUGGAAAAGAUGGUAUGGUGGCAUCCUUAUUACUAAUGACCAAACCCUCCAGUAGUUCAGCUCUCUCUUUCCUGUUGGUAAACAUCACCUGUAAUUCCAUCCAGGGUCAUUCAUGAUCUCAGUUUCAGAAAGUUUCCUAAUAUAGUAGUAGAAUAUUUUUACCCUGUAUUUUCUCUCUUUUUUCUUUUCCUGUGAAACUUUAUUUUCUAAUUCAAUGAUCCAUUAAUUUUUGCUAGGACCACCUGUAGCUAUAACUAAAGGGAAAGGCAGACCUCUCGGUUAACCAAUUCACUUGGUGUAAUAAAGUAGGCACAGUCAGUUGAGCUAAUUAUAAACCUUGUACUUCCAAACAUGUUUCUCAUUCUUGUUUUGUUCCUUUGUGUCGAAAGUUUACCUAAUUCAUUUGCUUUUAUAUAAUUAUACUAUAUGUUUAAAAGAUAAUAAGCCAACAUACUUAACACUAGAAUCCUAAUACGUGCCUCAUACAGGGACAUUAAUCCAAACCCCAUGAAAAUCAUGUGAAUCACCAGCCAGCCAUGCAUGCAAAAUGUUCAUUAUGAUAGAAUAAACAUUGUUGAUGAUGAUAAAGAGUAAUAAAAUGUAAAGGAACCUCAAGAUAGUCUUUGUGGAGGCGAUCAGGGAACCAAAGCUUCUUGUAAGCAGCAACGGAGAGAAGAGCUUUAAGACCCUUAACAGAAUUAGGCAACAACAGUUCUGCAGAAGACGAGAACCCUAGCCUGUUUAAUGUUUCCACGCUUAUGGAAUCAGUCAUGGCCAGGAUCGAGCCAGACACCACCAUGGCUUCCACCAUGUGAGGGUACAUCUGCGCCAUCUUGAAUGCCACCAUCCCACCAUAGCUGAACCCCACAACCACACACUUCUCGACACCAAGUUUCCUUAAACCCUGAACCAAGUACUCGGCUUGGAAAGUCGGUGACCGGUCUGGUUUGUCAGUAAUGGAGCCACCGAAGAAGAGAAGAUCGGGUACAUAAACCGAGUACUUCUUCGUCAAAGCACCCACUUGGAAUUGCCAUGUGACAAUGCCUUCUGCUGCAAAGCCAUGCACUAAGACCACCACUGGUUUUGUUGGUUUCUCCAAAUGGGUGACCUUUUUUUCACCCUUCCCGGGUUUCUUGACUGUUUCACAAGGAACCCAAAAGUUCAUCACCGUGCCUGGCUCGAUCUCCACCGAGUAAGGCUGAACCCCCGCCAUCUUCAUUAACCCAUUCAUCAGUGGCUUUUGUGCUGCUACAAGAUUCACCAUUUUUUUUCUCUCUUGUUUUCUUUAUCUUCGCCUACCUUUUCCCCUUGAUUUAAAGCAGUGAUGUAUAGAACGUAAGCUAAUCCAAGGUAUUUAAAAUUCCGAGGAAAGCCAGGUUUGGUUAUAGGUUGUUAUCAGAAACAUUAAAAAGGUCAGAAAUUUCAACGCACUUCAUUGCCAUUGUGGGCUUGGUAACCAGCUCGAUUGGUCUUUGAAUUGUUAAAAGCCAAAACCAAUAACGAUGACCAAAGGUAGCACAUUCGAAAACCUAAUCAACGUAACGAAUCCAAAUCAUAGAUUCUACAGUUUCUUACACGAAAUCCCUAUUACUCAAAUGGGCACACGUUCUUUUAAAAAAAAAGUAAUUUAAUUUACAAGGUUGUUUGAUUUUUGAUCACCUACACUACCUACUCACAUCAGCAUGAUUUCCAGGACCCAUUGAAAUCUUUCCUUAAAUUUAUAGGCAUUUUAGGUAAGUGGACUGUCCCCGUAUUGACGUUUGCAUGUUUUAUCCAAACAUUUUCCUUGUAUUUUUGUUUUCAAGUUUAACCAAAUCCUGCAUAUAAUUUAUUGGAAAGAUAGGUAAACUUGAAUCCUGAUCAAUUAUGCAACAAUUAAUUAAUUGAAUCAAAUGUUUGAAUGUAAAUUUGAUGAUAUUAAAAAAACCUAUUCUUUUAUCUUUUAAAUGGUGAAAAAAUUGAAAUUAAAUUAUAUAUAUAUAGCUUUGUAUUUCAUACGAACUAAUACAUUAUUAGUAAAUCAUAUCCAUAUAAAUCGUCGAUAAAUUAAUAAAUAAUUUUAAAAAUCAAUAUAAUUAUUAUAUAUAUAUUUCAAUACUCAACUGUUGACAGUCUUCUGGCUUACUCACGGUUUUUGAAGUUGUACACUAUCAGAGUCAAAUAUAAACGCAUAUAUACCAUCAUCGCCUAGAAUUUAAUUUGAGAGGGUUCUUAUUUUUGUGGUAUUUUAGUUUGGUUUUUAUGUUUAAUUUGAUACUUAAAUUAAAUUACAUUGUAUGACCUAAAAAAUACUUGACAUAUAUGCUCUAUCAAAUUAAAUAUUAAUAAAAACUUUAGUAUCAAUUUGAGGAAACUCAACAUUGAAGUCAUAUUUAAUUUUAAAUUAAACUUUGAUCCUAAAUUUAAAUAUCAAAUAUAUUAACCUUAAAAUAAAAACUAUAAAAAAUAUGAAAAUAUCUCAUUGUUUAACUUUAUCAAUUCAGUAAUAAAUUACUGGUUCAAAUACUAAAUUACCUGUACUAAAAAUAGGUUUAACACUAUUGAAAUAUGGAAUAACCUUUCGUUCUGAAAACUGGGCAAAAGAAAUUAUCGCUUUCAGAAAGCUACUAAUAAUACUUAAAAGAAUUUAGUCUGGUUUGCCAGGUGCUGUCAAAUUUAAUUACGAUUAAGAAUGCUUUAAUCAAAGACACAUUCAAACAAUCAAUCUGGUUAACAGGUGUCAGCUUUGCACAAAAUUUGAUGCAGAAAUAUUAAUAAAGCAUAUUAAUCUUUAAGAAAUGGAUAAAUAAAUCUAUGUUCUUUUUAGUUUUUCUGUUGGUUCUUAUAUAUCAACUUAACGUAUACGUAUGUCUAAUUAUUUUAUUAAUUACAUUAAAUUUUAACAAUACAGAGUAAAUGAUGAGGUUUUUAAAAUACAUUAUAUUUAUUUCUAAAAAUAUAUAUUUACUAAUAAAAUAUGGAAUCAUUAUAAUAAAAUUUAUAUUGAAAUCUAACCACCAUAAUAUAAUAUUAAUAAAAAAAAUAUCGUUUUAAUAUUAUAUUCAAUAUUUAUAUGAAUAGAAUAUUAUAAAUUAUGAAUAUGUUUAAUGAUUUUACAUUUUCAUUCUGACCUUUGAUUUCUCUCUCCACUUUACCUUCUCAAUUAAAUGCUCUCUCCCUCUCCUAUUUUUAAAAAAAUGAAUAUAUCCAUUAUCUUCUUUAAAAAUUUGUAGCGCACUGUCACAAUGACCACCGUUUACCGCCAUUAGCUGGCAUCCCUUAUUUCUCAGAUUUGGUUGCUUUAUUAUUAUUAUUAUUAUUAUUAUUAUUUUAUUGUAUUUUUUCUAAAUCGACUUUUAACAUAAAAAAUAUUUCGAAGCUUUCAUCUGCAUUUCAUUUUUCACUGUUCCGACCUCUACGAUUUUGUGCUGUUUUCUUUUUUAUAUUUAAAGAAAUAAACUAAAAAUGUAUUCUACAAUCUGUAUUUUUUGAUAUUUAGACACAUUAGCUCAUUUAAUUAGGUAAUUAAAUAUUAGUAUUUUUGUUUUUAAAUCUUGGAUUCGAUUUAUUUUUUUCUUAUAUUUGUAUUUUUAUUUCAUUUGUUUUAAGUUUUAAUUUCAUUUUUAAUUAUUAUUUUUAAUACAUUAACUUCUUUGGUUAGAUACUUAAUUAAUAAUAGUUUUAUUCUUCAAUUUCAAGUUCGAUUCCCUUCUAAGUAUGUUUAUUUUUUUAUUUCAUGUUAUUUCAAGUUUUUUUUAUUUUUAAUUAAUAAAUAUAUUGUUUUUAAGUUUUUUUAAUUCGUCUUUUUAAUUAAUAACUCUUUUAUUUAUAAAAUCCAAUAAUUAUUUUCAAUUAUAUAAAAAAUAUAUUUUUGAUAAAAUUGAUAUUUAUCAUUAUGUUAAAUAUAUAUAUUUUUAAAUCAGCAACUAAUUUUUUUUGAUAUAUUUUUCUUUAUAUAUAAUAUUUAUAUGUCGAAUAUUUAUUUUCUCCACCUAUAUUGUGGGUAUGGUGAUUUUUAAUAUUAUAAAAUCAAAUCAUUAUUUCAAAUAUCAUUAUUAUUUUUAUAUGUAAAAUAUUUCAAAUAUCAUUGUUUUUCAUCUACUUUGUAGCUAUGAUAUUUCAAAUAUUUUAUAUGUGAAUUAUAUUUCAAUUAAUUAUUUCAAAUAUCAUUAUAUUUAUAUGUGAAAUAUUUCAAAUAAUUAUUUCAAAUACACAUACAAAAAUAUAUAAUACUAAAAUCUACUACACUCAUCAUGGUAUGGAUUGAAAGAUAAAUAUUACUCAUAUAAAAAUUAUAUUUACUAAAAAUAAUGAUAUUUUGCAAUAAUUAUUUUAUUUUAUAAAUAAAAGAGUUAUUAAUUAAAUAGAUGAAUUAAAAAAAAAACUUGAAAAUAAUAUAUUUAUUAAUUAAAACAAAAGCUUGAAACAAGUUGAAAUAAAAAACACAAAUGUGUAAAGGAAAGAAAUUGAACUUAAGAUUUAAGAAUAAAAUCAUUAUUACUUAACCAUAUAUAUAACCAAAAGAGCUAAUAUGUUAAAAAUAGUAAUUAAAAAUAAAAGUAACUCUUAAAACAACAUGAAAUAAAAAUACAAAUGUGGGUAGGAGAGGAAUCAAACCACUAACAUUUAACCAUCUCACCAAAAAAACUGGUGUCAAAAAGUCAAAAAAUGCGUAUUACGACGCACAUUUUUAUGACAUGUUGGUGAAAACAUGACUUAUAGGAUGUGUUUUCAGCAGAACAUACUUCCUACCGGAUAUGUUUUUUGUUUCUCUCUUUAAAAUUCACCUAUUUACGUAAAUACCUCAAAAAUCGACCCAAAACUUUAAAUAUAUUUUAAAAUCAACAUUUCUUUUUUCAUAUUCCACCUGAAAUCAAGUAACCAAAACCCAUGUUUUCUUUCUUUUUUUCAAUUGUUUUGCAUUUUUACAUUGAUGAUCUGUUGGAUCAUUUCAAGCUAUGUUUUACGUUGAUUCAAGAGAGUUAUUAGAGAGAAUUUCAAAAGAAGAAACGAAACCAUUCGGUGGAGAAGUUAAAUAUGUAUAAUUCAUUUCUAAAAUAUUUCAAAUCAAUUGCAAUCUGAUUUUAUUCAAACAAAAAAUUUUACCCUCAUUCUGGCAUAUUAAUAAUUUAGCAUGAAAGAUCAACUGUAUUUCUAAGUCAAACCCUAUGUUUUAGCUAAAUUUCAUAUUUAAUCUUUGCAAUAAAAAAUUAAAAUUAAAAUUAAUGUUCCAAAAUUUUUAAUUUUCAACAUCUUAAUUCAAAUGUUUACCCCUUAAUAUUUAGUUUCAUAAAUUAGGAGUAAGAUUCAUAAAAGUAUUAUAAAAGUUGGUGUACUAGAAAUCAAAUUGUAUAUUAUUAUUUUUACUAAAAAAUAGGUAAAUUAGUCUUUAUACCUUAAAAUAAAGAGUAAACUGAUAUUUUUAUUAAAAUUUUUAUUUAUUUUUACUGUUAAAAAAUACGUCAACAGGGUUAGCAGCAACAAGUAAAAUUACAGGGAGCCAACCAUUGCUAAGGUUGUAAAUGGACAGAACAUUUGGUGAACAAUUCAUGAAUAGUUCAGUUUUAUUCGUUCAUUAAAUUAAAUAAAUGAACAUGAACAAGACCUUGAGGCUCAUUUAUUAAGCAAACCAAACACAAAUAGAACUUGUUCAGUUCAUUUAUGUUUAUUUAAAACUUAUUCCAUAAAUCAUUUAAAGCUUAUUUAUUGUUCUAUUAGUAUAUUCAUUUAUGUUUAUUUAAAACUUAUUCCAUAAAUCAUUUAAAGCUUAUUUAUUGUUCUAUUAGUAUAUAUUAAUAAAAUCAUUUUAUUUGUAUUUUUUUUCAUUUAUAAUACAAUUAUUAAUAUUAAUAUUAAUAUUUAACUAUUUUAUAUCUAAAAAAUAAUAUAUUUAUUGUUUAUUUAUUUGUUACUCAUGAACAUUGUUUAUAAAUAUAUUCAAUUAUAUAUUUAUAAAUAAUUUUUUAGAAUAUGUUUGUAAAUAUUAAAUAAACAAAUAUAAAUAUAUUUAAUUUUAAAUAAAUAAACACAAAAAAAAUUUAAAAUUCUUUAACCAACACGAAUUCAACAUGAUCAACUUAAAAAUAGAUAAAACAAACAAAGUUUAUUUAUUGAAGUUGGAUUCCUAAUCCUAACCAAUUCCCAACAAAACUCCAGCAGUCAACUCCCCACUCAAUUUUGGGAGAGAGCAGGGAGCAGUAGCUAGCUAUAGGUGCUACGUUUAUGUUUCCAACACUUAAAUGUGGGCAAGAAAUGAAACGUGUGCAACAUUAUUUCACAUAAAUGCAACUAGUAAUCUAUGGAAAGAAGUGUUAUAUAUGGACUUGCUCCAUUUUCUACCUCCUUCAACACGCUUUUUGGAAUGGGAGAUCAUGAUCUCAGACCAACCCCCAAUGUAAUUAAAUUUCUUUUACUAUAUAUUUAUUUUAUCAAAUGUUUCUUUUCAACUCCAUGUAGAUAUCCAUAAAGUUAAUGGUUAGUUGGUUUUAAUUUAUAUGACACUGUUCAAUAUUUUUGAUGAUUUGAGUUGUAAAAAUAAAAAUUGUAAAUGCUAAAUGUUUAAUUUAUAUGAUUAAUGAUGGCCUAUAUGUCUAUAUGUCUUUGUUGGCACAAUGGCCAUAUUUGGCUUAUGUUUUGGCAUAUUUUGGUAUGUUUAUAAGUUGUCUUAAUAUGGUUGAUAUGUGGCUUGAUUUGUGGUUGAAUGAUAAAAGGUAAUAUGAUAACUAAACGUAUAUUUGUUAUAUGUGUCUUGUGAUAGAAUGGUUGUGUUUAGGUAAGUAAAUUAUUUGGUAUGUAUUGGUGCAAAUAUGCAUGUAAGUUAGUUGAUUAUUUGGUCAAAUUGAAUACAUGAUUAGGCCUGUUUAUACAUUGUCAUUUGAGGUGCUUAAGGGCAUAUUAGUUGUAUGAUAUUAUAUCAGAUGUAUAAGAGUUGUUUAUGCUUGAUUUGGAUGCCUUGUAAUGGCUUGCAAGUAUGUGCAAUGUUGUAUGUAGGUACAUGCCAAUUUGGGUGAGAAAAAUGACUUGUAAAAUGACUUAUUUUCGUCCACACGGGAAGAGACACAGACGUGUGUCUCAGCUAGGGGUGAGCAAAACUCGAUUCGACUCGAAAAAAUCGAAAAAAAAUUCGAAUUUUGAGUUAAACAAAUCGAGUUAUUCGAAUCAACUCGAUUUUUUUUCGAAUUUCGAGUUUGAAUCGAGUUGAGUUUUCUAAUUCAAAUAACUCGAAUAAUUCGAAUAAUUCGAAUAUCAAACUAUAAUAUUUUACAUUUUUACCCCAAACUCCCAAACCUUUUUACUUUUCCCUCAAAACUUUUACUCCUUCCCACUUUCCCCCCAAAACUUUUACUCCCCUCCCCUCCCAACCCCCCAAUCUACCCAAAAUCCAUUUCCCACCAAAAUUUUACUCUCCCAUUUAUUUUUUCUCAAAAUUUUACUCCCCAAAACCCUCAAAACCUUUUAUUUUCCCCCAAAAUUUUUACUCCCUCCCACUUUUCCCCUAAAACUUUUAUUCUCUUCCCAUCCCACCUCCCAUUUAUUUCAAACCCUCCCCCUCCAAUUUUUUUUAAAUAUUUUCCCUCCAAAAUUUUACUCCCCCUAUUUACUUUCCCUCAAACUUUUAUUCCCCAAAGCUUUUUAUUUUUCCCCUAAACUUUUACUUCUCACACUUUACUCUCAAAUAAAAAAUCAAAAUUAUCCAAAAAAAAUCACUAAACAUAAAUAGUAAUAAUUUUAUUUAUAUCUACUAUUUAUAUUAUUAAAUUAAAUUUCACAUUUUAUAUUAUUUAUAUUAUUGAAUUGUUUAGUCAUAUUGAAUAUUUAUAUUAAAAUUGAAUUAUUAAUUAUGCUAUAAAAUAUUCGUGUUAAAAUUUUAUACUGGUAUUAAUUUCACAUUUUAUUUUUGAAAUAACUUUUAUUAAAAAUCAUAUUUUUACAUUUAAUAUAUUUUUUAAUUCUAAAAUACAUAGUGACAAGAAUAUGAAGAUAAUUGAAACAACUAAGCAAGCAAAGAAGCUAACCAAUAUAUAAAAAAAUUAAUAAAUAAAUUAUGAAGUGAUGAAAGUUAAUAAAAAAUUUGAUUAAUGUGGACAAAUUUUAUUACGAUGGGUGACAAUGGUUACAAGGACCCAAAAUUAUUUUUUUAAAUUUACCUCGAACAAAUAUAUUCGAUUCGACUCGAUUCGAAAAAACUUCAAAUAAAGUUAGGAUGAUAAAAUGAGAUUCGAAAACUCGAUUAACUCGAAAAUUUUUUAUUCAAUUCGAUUCGAUUCGAUCGAAUGCUCACCCCUAGUUUCAGCUGUGUGUGACACACGGCCAUAUAACACGCCCGUGUAUCCCCUGUAGCUUUCAAAGAGUUGCAAUUCAGGCUCUUACACGGCCUAGCAAACGGUUUGGUACACGGGCAUGUGGGGUUACUUUGAAGGGUACACGGCCUAGCGCAUGGGCAUGUAGCUUGGCCAUGUGGCCUAAGCCAGUGAGUUACACGAGUACAGACACACAGCCGUGUGUCCCUAUUUCGAAUGCCCACACGACUGUGUGAUCCCUGCAGUAUUGAAAAUUUUCAAUGUUUUCUGAAAAUUUCUCUGAGUUUUCGAAUUAGUCCCAACUUGUUUCUAAUGUGUAUUUUGGGCUUCGAGGGCUCGUAUAAGGGACAAUUUAUUUGUUUGAAAUCAGUUUUUAAUAUGUUUAAUGAUAUGUUAUGAAAUGUUUGAAAUUUCUGUCCAUUUGAAUUGUAAACUCUGGUAAUGCUCCGUAACUCUAUUCCGGUAACAGAUACGGUUUAAGGGUGUUACAAUUCCACUCCCAAGACCACUAGUAAAAGCCCAUGCCACACUGGCAGACUUAAACCUAUUUAAUAUUUUCUACUUCUAUUCUACACUCGGGUUGAAAUGUUGUUUGGAUUACUCUCUUGUAAUCUGCCCUAUUUACGAUACUUUGCUUUUAAGGUGUAACAUGUCCGUAUGCAGCGGACCAUUUUGGCAUACAAUAUUCGGCAGACUAUUAUUUGAGUGACCAUUCGAGUUUACGACCUCCCUUAUAUGAUGGUUCCUUACGAAACUAACUCUCUGGCGGGUAUACUCGCAAUAGAUCCUCCUCAAAGAGAAAUAGUCUUAACAGACAUAACUGUCACUUGGAUAAUCCUUAUUAAUACCUCUUUUUGGCAGUUCUUAAUGGCAGAUCCUUAUCUACGAUCCUAAGAUAAAUCCUCUUUCAUUUGCUUAUAUACAAGGCAAUACCGACACAUCAUUCCCAUAUGUAAUUCUUGUUGGGUUAGACCAUAUGCCCUACUGGCUUCCAUGUUUACCAUUUUGGCAGACUACCCAGUGUUUAUUAUCUUGAUAAACUACCUCAUUUUUAUUGUCCCGGUAGACUAUCUUGUUUUUGUUGUCCUAGCGAACUACCCAAUAUUUAUUAUCCCAGUAGACUACCUCGUUUUUAUUGUCCCAAGGAACUAUCUCAUGUUUACUAUCCUGGUGGACUCUCUAUGUUGCCAUAGUCGAGCUAUGGUCUUACACAUCAUACCCCAUGUUUAAUGUCCUGACGAACUCUAUUGGUUUCCAUAGUUGAGCUAUGGUCUUACACCUCAAACCCUAUGUUUAGUGUCCUGGUAAACUCUAUUGGUUGUCAUAGCCGAACUAUGGUCUCACACCUCAUACCCCAUUACAGCCCAUUUAUUCCACCUCACUUCUAACCUUGAUGCUCCAACACCGCAGUGUCCCUUCCACAAGGCCUAGAGCUUCGCAUAUCACUGUUUAUACCCAAAAAUUUUUAGAUUGAGGUAAAUGGAAACUCCAUUUCCUAAACCAUCCGUCCAAUCCUCUACAUCACCAAAUCUUAACUUCAUCUAACUUGUCAAUAAUUUUUCCUCCGUACUCCACUGUUAUAAACAUGCAAUACAUGCAUUUCAAAAACAUACUAAUAUGGAGUACGCUACCUUUUAGGCAUGAAAUCAUAACCAUAUCAUGUAUAUCAAAAUACAUGCGCGAAUACUCAUAUACCUACAUUAUCUUAUACAUGCAUAACAUUCUCAAUCAAUAAAGAUCAUUUAACAACCAGAAAGUUAGUGGUGUCGAAAAUAGUGGUUUCGAAACCCUAUUCUCCAAUGAUCGAGUCUGUAAAUAUUAUUAAACAAUAUUUACGAGUUAACUAUAAUAUUAUUAAAAUUUGGUCAAACGAAUUCAUUAAUUGGAUAGUUAGUUAGGGUACAAGUGUAACAACCUGAUUUUAGUGGGAUCGAAAACAACAGUUUUAAAACCUCGUAAUUUAAAAAUCGAGUCUGUAAAUAUUAUUUAACAAUACUUAUGAUUCUAACAUAAAUUUAAAUUGGAUUAAGAUCUGAUAAAAUAUCUAAUUUGACAAUUAGUUAAGUCAAGUGGUUUGACCCUAAAGUCAGUGAUUUUGGAAAAUGAGGAAUCAUGACCUUGUUUUCAUAAAUCGAGCUCAUAAAUAUCUUUAUUAAAUAUUUAUGGAGUUUUAUAUAAGUGAAUUAAAUGUUGGUCCAAAAGUUUUAAUGAUUAUAUGGUUAAUUAGGGUACAAGGACUAAAUCGUAAAAGUGAUAAAAUUAAUCGCUAUUAAUUUUUAUUGAUUAAAAGAACUAAAAGAGUAAUUAAUCAAAGAUUAAAGUGGAAAUAAUUCCAAUAUGGAUGCUAAUAUAUGGUUGAGUGAUGUUUAGGUUGUGAUUAAUGUUAAAAUUAUUAUAAUUAUAUUAAUGUAAAAAUUUAUAAAGGAUAAAAUAAUAAAAAAAAGUUAUCAUCACCAUAAUUUUUGCUUCUUUCAUCGAAACCACAAAGAGAAGAACCAAGUAGUCAUUUUUUUUGCUUCAAGUGCUUUCAGCCAUUGCAUGGUAAGAUUUUCAAAGCCCAUUUUUAGUAAAUUUUAUGUUUUUAAUAUCGUUGUAGCUCAAUGUAGAUAAUUCAUAUCUUAUUUAUCAAAAAUAUUAAAGUUUAAAAAUGUUUCCAUUGUUAUUACUUGAAGCUUUUAAUGUUAAAUGAUUGGUUGUUAAGCUUAGAAAUGAAAAUGGACUAUUUUGUAAAGUGAAAUUGAUGUUUUUGUUAAAAGGACUACAGUGUAAAUAUUUCAAAAUUUGGUAUGAAAUUUCUAUAACUAAUGGUAAUAGAGGGCUAUAAAAGGAUGAAAUUGAGACCUGUUUAAAAAUUGAAGCUCAAAUUUGAAAGCUAUAGAUAUUUCUGUUUUAAGGACUAAAUUGAAAAAAUGUAAAACUUAGGGGACAUUUGAAAAAUGAAAUUGAUUUAAUAUAUGAUUACAAUGGGAUAUUUUAAUAUGUUUGGAAUUGAUAAAUUGAAAUAAAUUAUUAUAUAGAUUGAGAUUUGAGCUAAUAAGAGGAUAAUUGAGUAAAAGUCAAUUUUUCGGAUUAGUUCUCGAUGUUUUGUGUGUCGUUGUUUUGUCAAGUAAGUUCAUAUAUAAGUUACUAUGUUAAUUUUUUGAUAUAUUUGAUUAUAUUUAUUUUUUAUUAAUUAUAUUAAUUGUAAUUUUGAUGAUGUUGGCUUAAAAUUAAUUAUAUGUUUAACAUUAGUAGAUGACAUGCCAGAAUUAUAUAAGUUUGGAAUGGAUAUGUGGCAUAAAUGAUUUGUACCUUAUUGAGUUGGUUUAUUUGGAAUGAAUACACACAUGAGCAUGUUGUAAGUUAGAAAUGGACUGUAUAUAGGAUUUUAUAAGUAUAAGAAGUUAUUUUGGAAUGAUGGUAAUGAUGGUUCAUAGGUAAUACUUGAAUUUGAAUGUUAUAUAACAUGUAUAUAUAUAAGUCUUGUUAUGUUUAAGUGUUCACUUGAAUGUUGAUUCUUUGGAUCUAGCUUAGAGCUAGUAAAUUGAAUGGUUCAUGUCUUGAAAUUUUUAAUGGUAUGUGUGUAAACGAGAAUGCCAAUAUUUUGCAUGUCUUAGUGAAUGGUUAAUGUUCAUUUGGUAAGUAUAAGAAUGAAUAUGUAACAAGAUGGUGCAUAGUUACCUUUUCAUAUAAUGAAUAGAUGUUUGUUUGAAUAUUUGUUAUAUGUGGCAUGUAAUUAAAAGAUGUUAUACUAUCUUGUUAUGUUUAGUUUGGUUGGGAACUUAGUUGACAUUGAGCCUAUAAUGUAAUUGGCAAAUGUUUAAUAUGAAAAAGUUUAUUAUCAUGAUGGGGAAUUGUUCGAUAAUACAUGUAUUGUUUGUAUGGAAAAUUAGUGAUCUUAGGACAUGACUUAAAUGUUGUGUUAACUUGGUAUAACUUUUGUCUACAUGCUUUUAUAUGGUAUGAAAUGUUAUAAUAGUGAUUGAAAUUAUUAUCUAUUGUGUGCUUGAGCUUGUAGAAAUACAAGUGAUUGAUUAUGAGCAUGUAUAUAGGUUGAUUAUAUUUACUAUAAAUUUGGCAUGAUAGUAGAUGAUUUUAAAAUUUUUUAUUAUUAUACUACUAAGUUCUAUAUAUUACACUGUAAAUAGGCACUGAGCAAUUAAAUGUACCAAAUGAUAUAGAGAAUUCAGGAAAACGACCAUGCUAGUAUGUAUGAUAGAUUAUUGAAUUUGUGAUUGUUUGGUUGAUUAAAUUUGUGAACAUUGAGAUACCUUGGGAUAACUUAAGACAUUGUUUAGUAUAAACAUAGAGACAAAAAUCUAACCCUAUUUAUUCAUCUUUAGUUCCUAUAUUUGAGCCAGAAAAUACUUCUUGAUGAACCUCCAUACAAAACCCGAGCUAAAAAUGUUAAUUUGUAUUUUCCCUCUUUCUUUGGUCCUGAACUACAUGAUUAUAGACGUUUUUCCACACGUAUUAAGGGUUAAGUAGAUACAUCACGACAGAUUUUGUAACAACAAAGUGAAAUGGGAAAGAUCAGUGUGAUAUAGUAAUUAUAGGUUAACUUAUAAAUGCAAAAAAAAAAUUCAAAAAGAAAAUCAAAACGAGUAGAAAAAAUACUUGAAAAGAAAAAGCAUUCGUGAGUGAGAUGUAUUGAAAAAGAAAAAUAUGGUAAAUUCACAAAAAUAGAAAAACUAGUUCAUUAGGGCAUAGAAACUCGUGAGUUAGCGAUAGUUGUUGUAUUAUGCUAUGAUUUCCUAUGUGGAGAAAUAAGGCGGUGAGUGGGUAAGGGUCACUAAGGAAGGAGAAUAGGGAAUGAUACGAUAUGCCACACUAUUUUCAUGCUUGAAACUAUUUUGAUGUUUAUCAUUCUUGAAUUCCACACUUGUCCUAAGCCUUGAAUGGUACAAGCCGGAAAGCCCUAUGUGACCUAGGUAGACUUAUUCAUGAAUUGAAAUCAUAUUAAAUAAUUGCAUUUAUGACUAGUUGUAUUCUGUUAGGAUAAUCAAAUUAUAUAAUAAUCAAAUUAUAUGUAUAAUUUAUUGAUGGAUCCAUACAUUUGAAAACCUUAAUGUUUGUAUGCCUUACAAUAUACUGAACUUAGGUGUUUAAUAUCAAAAGUGGUAAGUCAUCUACAUGUCAAGAUUACGUGUAAAUAUGAAAUGCCUAGUUAUGUACUCCAAAGCCAACAUAUGUACUAUACCUGCUUAAGGGUCGUUUUUUAAUUUAUUGCUUUUCUUUGCCUUUCUUGAGGAAAAGUAAUAACUUAAGUGUAAGGGAGUUUGAUCUACUAUAAUUUGAUAUAGCGGAUUAAACUAGUUUUCGCAUUUAAAGAGCUUGAAUACGAGCAUUUUCAUUAUGUUUUAAUUAAGUUUUCAUAGUUUAGUUUAAAUGCAAUAAAAAGUGUAUUACGAGUCUUUUAUUGACCUUAUAGGCUAAAUGAGACCUAAAGGUGAGCUAAUAUACUUAAUGAGUAUGCAGAAGACCAUUAGAGGGCUUAUAAACUUAAACACUGGUCGUUGUGUUGCAACACGUGAAGUUUGAUGUUGCAACAUAGAGAGCAGAAUACAAAAAUAUCAAGAUUGUCUUCGGUGGUGUGACACAGCCAUGAGAUUUCGUAACAUACCCCUGAAGCAACCCUGAACCUAAGCAUACUACCUUCGAUGUCGCAACACAAGCACUAGGGUGUCACGACAUCGGUCCUGUACGAUAGAUAAUUAUGAGCCAAGUGUGUUUUGGUCUACACAAUUAAAUAUUUAACAUGAGAUCGUCAACUAACUUAGGGUUGAGGACGAAGACAACCUUAACUUUAUAAAUAGACUCAUUUAGCACUUGUUAUAGACAACUUUUGAUACUUUAAGUUUUUUUUGUAAUUUCAGUUUUUAAUUUUCCUUUCCUUUAGGCUUUAGGCUUAUUUUUAAUUAUUUUCCUUUUGUGUUCUUUGGAUAACGAGGUUUGUAAAAUGCGAUCAAACGCUAGUGGAUUGUUUGUGCUUCAUCUCACACAAACAUGAUUCUCUAAACUCUAUUCUUGAUUUGUGAUUUAUGUUUAUCUUUAUAUUCAAGUUUAUUGUAUUCAUGAGAUUCAUGAUGAACUAAUCCUCUUAUUGGGGAUUAGCGAUUGGAGGUGUGAGUAAUUGAUUCUUAUGUAGAGUUUUCUUAGUGGAUAAACUGUUUGGGAAAGAAAGAAUUUAAACCCUAAGCUUGAUGACCUUAAGAAGUCAAUUAGGUGGGAAUUAACCCAAAAUUGGUAUGGCCUAUCCAUGAACACCUUAGCCCUAAAUAGGUCUAGACAAUGAGAUCGAGAGAUAAGUAGUUCUUGCCUACUCAUUAGUUUAGUGGAAGAUCAAGAGAUCCUGCUAGGGUGAUGACUAGUUGAUUGAGUAGAAACUCGAAAUAGAAAUUAGUUAUGACCGCCAAAGUAAGUUAAUCACCCAUACCUAGAAUUGAUUAAAGUCUAUAAAUUAGGUUUUUCGAAGUUCUUUAUAUUUAGGUUUUUGUUAUUUUUAUUUCAUUAUUUAUAACCUAAAAAUAUUUUCUUUUAUGUUUUAUCGUACUAUAAUUUAUUUAAAUUACUAAUUAGAUCAAUUUGGAUUUAGGUUAGAAAUAAUUUAGUACUCGCCUCCAUUGGGUACGGUCAUUAGAGUACUCACCUACUUUGUUCUCGCUAUAUUACAAUUUGACCUGUAUACUUACGGACACCACUUAUUUUAUAUCUUUUGUGCAGUAUUCUUACUCUAAACGUUACUACUUCCGAAGGCAUUCAAUUUCCAUAUGUUGUUCUCUACAUCUUUAGAUAUUGUAUGAGCCAGCCUUUCCAUGCAAGACACAAAAAAGGUAGGGAGAAAGAUGAUCACUAUAACUCCCUCAACCAAAUUUAGAUCUCGAGUGUUACAUUUCUAAUACAGACUUAACAAAACAUACAAUUUUUUGAAUAUUUACAUCUUAUUUAAGAGUACUGCUCUAAUUAACUUACAACUAGAAGUACUGUAGAUAAUUUCAACCAUUGUACAAGACUUCAAAUAUAGAGAACUUACAAGUGAAUAUCAUAAAUUAAAUACAUUAUUCUAUUUGUUUUAUGCAUAAUAGACCGUAGUGAUAAUAUUGAUUAUAAUAGUGCAACUAACACGUUCCGUAUGCAUAAUAGCCCGUUCUAUCACCUCUGGCAUAGCCUUGGCGUCAUCCCUCCCAUCGUAGACCCAAAUCAACUUACUUGUAACAUGAUACACAUAAGUAAGUUCAUGAGAACUUAGUGAGUAAAACUCAAUUUACCUAUAUCGCGCCUAUACAACGCAUUUGGUAACUUCGUUGAUCCUCUGAUUGUUCUUCAUUCUUCAGCUUGUUUAUGGCGAGUACAAGGCUCUUUCAUCUUUAUGGUCCAAGAACUGACUGAACCGUGCUCUAAUACCAAAAUUGUAAUGCCAUCAACCUGAUUCGAUUUGUCGAACCUGGAUCUCGAGUGUUACACCCCUAAUACAAACUUACUAAAAAAAACAUACAAAUUUUUGUAUAUUUACAUCUUAUUUAAGAGUACUGUUCCAAUUAACUUACAACUAGAUGUGUUGUAGAUAAUUACAACCCAUACCUUGAAUUCGCCACAUAUUCUAGCUCAUUCCAACUUAUCUGUUCAUAUCCUAAGACCAUGCAGACUAUGCCAAGACAUUUCAGACGUAACCAUUUCUUCAGAGUUCGCCAUAUACAUCAUUCUUUUAGGGUUUUUCCAUACUUACCAUUCUUUAGAAUUAACCAUUCAUAUCAUUCUUUUAGAGUUCACCAUACUUACUAUUUCUCUCUUUCAGAGUCUGCCACAAGGGCAUUCCCUUCAAAUGAUAGCCACAAGGGCCUUCUUUUAGAAAACACCACGAAGGCUUUCCUUUCUAUAGAUCGCCACAAAGGCUUUUAUUUUCAUAGAUUUCCAUAAAAGCGUCUAUUUUUAUAGAUUUCCAUAAAGGCGUCCAUUUUCAUAUAUUACCACAAAGGCAUCCAUUUCUAUACGUUUUCAUCGUAGGGAUUUGCCUAAAUCACAUUACGUAAGGUUUGCCCCACAUUGUCUUAGGUUGCGCAGAAAACUCCAUUAGGUAAUAACAUUCCUUUAGAUAUUUCCAUAUGGUGCCAUAACCCACCAGCUAUGGUCUUACACGAUAUGGUGCCAUGGACUUUUCUUUCAGAGAAUCGUGUUUAAAGUCCCGACGGACCCCUUUAGAUGAGUCCAUCGCGAUGAACAGACUUAGGCUCACUUGAUAAACCUUCAUGCAUUGACCUCAUUUAAGACUUAACAUAUUUCAUUUUGAUUUAUCUCAUACAUUCCAGAAUCAUUCAUACAACCUCGUUUCACUAUCAGAACAUCCAUCACAUACUCAACUUAUCAGGUACUAUACAAACUACACAUGAAAGACUUAUUUAUUGGUCAUACUACAACAUUAUCUCUCUAUCAUACUUACCUAACUUCAGAAUUGUAGUGUGACUACUUUCUACAUAAGCAUCUUGAAUAAUAUUAUGCAUGCAUGAGUCGGCUUAAGGACUCACCUGACAACCACAAAUAGUCGUUUGAACUCUAGAUCCAUCAUUAAAGCAGGGAUUUCAACAAUCUCUGUCUUAUAAACAAAAAACCACAUAUAAAACCCAUUCAAAAUAGCCUUUACUAUUAUCUUAUAUUCAGACAACCCUCAUACGAGGCCUUACUUUUUCAUACGCUCAAACAUUUCUACUUGCAAUGCCUUAAGGCUUACCUUGACACGGAGAAAUCACUGAUAAAAUUCAGGGUUUCCCGAUCCAUCAUAAGAGAAAUCUUCUAUUUUUCUCCGGGCUUAAUUCUCAAUGUUUUGAAAUGAAAAUAAGAGAACUCUCCAUCUUUCUACUUGAAAACCUAUUGAAAUAGUCAAAGUCUUUAUUGGAACUUGAAAAAUUUCACAUCACUACUGACUUGUCUUACGAAGGGUCUAUAGCUUUCGAGGAAACUAAUUGAGUACUUUCCCUUUCUCUUUUAACUAUCUCGAUUUACGUUCAAUUAGUUCUUAACCAUCUUAAAUUAUAACUUAACAUGUAUAAUAUCACGGGGAAAAGGAUGCACUACUUCUAACGUGGGCUCGUACCUUCAGUAUCUAUUUACCUGACUACAUCCUUCUUCUAACAAAUUACAACAAUCUGCGAUGAACUGUCAACAUCUUCAUCACACAACUGUGUCUGCCCCCAUAUAUGCUAUAAAGAGAACUUGGGUAAUUACCAAUUUGCUAAUCGUACCUAUCAAAGACUACGCCAGAACUUGUGCUUGUCAGAACAGGGGCGUUAUAGGCUUGUUCAAAUAAUUCUUAUACUUAGUCAAAUUUUAUACUUAACACACUCAAAACUUAAUUUAUGUGCCUUACUUCUAUAAACAUCAUUUGAACAUUAGGGUUUCGUCAAGCGGGAUGUUACAAUUCUCCCCCACUUAAGAAAUUUCUUUCUCAAAAUUCCGAAAAUGACUUGGGUUGUUUUUGCCAAACUCAAAUUAGUGAUUGCACAAAUUCCCUUGCACACACUUCAACAUUUUCUUUCUUAUUGGAAUGCUCCCCAAAAUUCUUAAAAAGAUAUCCUUAGACUGCUUUCUUGAAUAAAAUCAAAUUUUUGAUGGUUAACACUCAAGUAUGGACACCUCACGCUUACCCCUUUUUAAAAAAUAUCAAACUUGCAUUGGAGAAUUCAAAUAGUUUUUCCUAAGGUGCCUUCUUGAGCACAUUUAUCCCUACAAAACAGAGAAUUUAACCCUUCCUCUAAAACCUUCGUCAAGCCUUCAAAUUUCUUAACAGCUUCCCUAACUUCCUUUUCUGCCUUCGUCUUCUUCGAUUUGAAGAAUUCUUAAAGGUAAUCCUAUUUCCCCUUAUUUCCCAUUGUUUCCCAUUAUUUUCUUACUUUCAUACAAGAUGUCAAGAAUGAACACUCAUGGUCAAGGUCAUGACCAACGUGGCUGAGUUUCAAUCCCUAAUUGUCCCACCAUUUUUUGUCCUCACGAACUCAAAAAUACCCUUCCAACCAUUUCCACUCCUAAAUACGAAUGUAGUAAUACCUAAGAAGAAGUGAAUUGAUUCUUGAUAGCCUGAGGCUUCUGUUUUCCAAACUUCACUUACGACCUUGAUAUACCUUCAAGGUGUUAUUUAAGUGCCAACACCUUGGGUUUCAUCCUUCCGCUCAUUAUGCUAGAGGCUGGUUUCUAUUUACCUUUGCACCUAUUCUUCUAUUCAAUGUUGAUUGAAUACGACAUUGCACCAAGGCAGUUAUUAGCCUUGUCCUAGUAGACCGUUAUUGCCUAUUGCUUAGAUUGCUGCUAACGAAAUGAACCUACACUCCUAGGAGUCUUCCAAAAAUUUUACCAACUAAAAAUAACCAAAAAAUGGGCAAAUGCUGGAUACGCCCACUUCAAUGUUUUCAAAUCUUCAUUGGAGAAAGGAAAAGUUCAUAAAGGUAGUUUGUAAGCUCGAAGAUAGGUUUGGCUUUUCCACUUGCUGGUCCCUUCCUCAAGAGCUCACUUAUUCUCAGAGUUUGCUUAUUUAGUCUAAGGUGGAAAAUAAGUAAUUUAAGUGUUUAAGUAUAGGGCAUGUUCUAGAGUUAGUGAAAUUAGUUACAAUUAGGAAUGUCUUUCAGUACUGCUUGUUGAAUCAGAGUCCUAAUGGUCAUAGAAACAGUGCCUGUAUCAAUUAGUUGGAAGAUUUUAUUGUGCUUUCAGUGCCCAAGGCUUGUCUACACAACGACAAUAUUAUCUUAGCCCAGAUCUUAACUGGGCAUGCAAGAGAGCCCCUAUUUUACUUUUACGAGUUUUGUGGGAUACGUUCCUGAAACUAGCUUAUCACUCAUCGUGCUCAUCCUUCUUCUUUUUCUUCAAGUGAAGCUAAUUCUCACAUUGAUAGUGCAUGGUAUAUUUCCAAGUCUCAUAUUCCUCCCAACCUAAAGCUAGGCAUGGACAUCAAAGCCAUUUUAGGUACCACUUGUGAUAUGGAGGGAGCUUUAAUUGCUCCUACUAGGCAGCCUAUUUCCAAGAAGUAUCAGAAGAGACUAAAGGCAAGUGAAAAUGUUUUGGUUACUAAGGAGAGUGACCAAUUACAACCCAAAUGGCGUAGACUUGGGAAAGGACUUCCAAGUCCAAAGGUUCAUUUCUUGCCAAUUUCGCCAACAGUUCCAAUGGAACCCACCUGUGCAGCAGACUCUUCUGCUCAGGUUACAGGUUCGCCUUACACAGAAAUCCGAACAGAAACCUCACCAGAUGAUCUAUCUAAGAAUCCCUCUAUUCCUCAACCACAGUUCUCUUCUUCUAUUGAAAAUAAUGAAUUUUUUCCUUGGCGCAACCUUUAUACUUCAGGACCCUCAUUUGUUUCUUUAAGUUCGAUCUUUAAAAACUAAUACAACUUGAUUCCUCAAAAAUACAGAGAGGCAUUCCAUUCUUUUAUUGUGUCCAAGCCGGGUUUAACUUCUUUUUCUUAGAUGGCCAAAUCUGCCAAAGCUUUAUCUGUUAAGAACAGGUUGUUGAGUGGAUUUCUUUAAAAGUUUCACAGUUUUCAUAAGGCCACAAUUUCCAGUUACAAUGAGUUCCUUAAGUUGAAUUCCAAGAUGAUAGAGGAGCAAUGCAGUAGGGAGCAGGCUCUUAAAAGUAAGUUUGAACAACUCAACCCAAGUAUGGUAGCGUGAAAGUUCAAAAACAAAGAGAUAGAGAAAAGUGUAGAUUGUUGGAGAACACAGUUGAAUCGUUAGAGAAGAAUGAUUCCUCCUUAAAGGAACAACUCUAAUACCAGAAGUUACUUUAUAAGGCUAAGUAGGAUAGUGUUCGCUAAUCCAACGAUAAAGCCUUCAAGAAAUAUCAGGAGUACACAAUAAGAAACUUUAUUGAGGCAUUGUCAAAGUGGAAGGCUAACCUGAUUCUCCAUGCCCAAGUGGUCGUUGGUCCUAUGGACUUCUGUCAAGUAGACUUCAACUUUCUUCUAUACGCUGCUACAUAUUCAUUAGGCUUCAAUAUUUACAACCCCAAGGGUUUCAAAAUGGAAACAAAUUACUGGUUUCUUUAUUCUUAACUCACCCAAAAUAAAGGGUGGCGAGAAUCUUGAGAAGCUUCAACAUUCAGAGUAAAUCUUGGGGGAAAUAGAGUCAACAGAAGAAGUCCACGCCAAGUCCACUAGGCAUCACUCAGGGGAAGAGGACUAAUUUCUUUCUUCUUAUUCUUUCUUAUCUUUUAUGGCCUUCUUUUUGUAUAACAUCCAUUUUAUCAAUGAAGUGAUCAUUUGCCUCUCUUUUUAAUAUAUUCAUUCAUCUUUCCUUUUCAACUAUUUAAUUUAUUAUUUCUCUACAUCCUUUACUUUACACAUAAAUAAAGUUGUUUGCACAUACCUAAGAGACUUAGCCAAGCUCGACGUAUUAUACAUAUAGGGCCCUUAACUAUUUAUGGUCUAUAAUGCCAAACUUGUAAUGUGUAACACUCCUAACCUGUUUUUAUCACCGAAUUAGGGUUAAAGAGUAUUAUUGUACAAAAUAGAACAUUCAACAUCAAAGAAAAAAUAAUUAUGCAAUUCAAAUGUUAUCAUUUCAUAACUCAAUUUAAUUAAAGUAAAAAUACACUUACCAGAUCUAGCAUGCGGGGCAAAAGAUAUAGUUUGGAAACAUUUCUGGAUCAAUUUGAAAUAAAAUAGAAAAUUUUGGAAAAGCUUGAAAAUUUUGAAAUAGGGGUCACACGGUCGUGUGACUAGGCUAUGUGGCAUAGCCCAAACUGUGUGGACAUUCAAAAUCUAGACACACGGUCGUAUCCCAGCCCGUGUAUCCACCCGAGUGGGUAAUCAAAAUAGGGCCACAUGAUUGUGUCGUGGGCCGUGUGCCAAACUGUGUAUGCAUCCGAUGUUGGGUCACACGGCCGUGUCGUAGGUCGUGUGUCAGAUCAUGUAAAACAUGCACCUAAAAUAAUAAUGACACACGACAGUGUAGGGUAUCCUUGUGUGGCAAACGAUCGUGUGACAACCCGUGUUCCAAGCCGUGUGUUUCAUAUAUUACCCCUAAAAUAAGCCAUUUCAAAUCUAAUUCUUGCACACCAAGACACAACAUUUCCACAAACACUCACAUGACCAAAACACAUUUAAAAUGUAUUUAAAACAUACCAAUUCCAUCAACCUAUAAAACUAACCAAUGUACCAACAAAAGGCACCAAAAUUAUAAACCAAACAUAAUCUCAUUCAAUAUUACAAGUUCAUUCAAUAAACUUAGAUCAAACAUACCAAUAACCAUUCCAAAAGCAUCCAUUCAACCAUGACUUACCUAAUAUAAGAUAGAACAUGCAUAAAAGCAGCUUCACCUAUUUACAACAUCAUUUGCAAACAACAUCAAUUAGGCAUCCAACCACAUUAAACUCAUCACAACUUAAAACAACUGAGAAACCAAGAUUACAUUUAAGCCCUAAACAUGCCAUUUAUAACCAUAAGCCAAAUUAACCAAAAACUACCAAAAUGAUGGAAAGAUAGUGUGAUCGUGCUCCAACGCGAUUGUAACGCCCCAAAAUUUUAAAUGUUAUUUGUGAGAUUCUACAGUAAUUAAGUCUUUGUAUCUGUGGUUAUAUGCUCUGCUUAGGUGGUCGAGGUCAGGAGUUCGAGUCGCGUUUUUAAAAGUUUUUCUAGUUUAAUUUUAAUCAAUCUCUUCUCUUGGGUUGCUGACUUAAAGUUAAUUCUGUGUAAAUCUAUGUCAAGAAUGAGCCUACUGGUUUACUGGUUAAGCAUCUGUCUAUUCCCUGGUCCUAUGUUCGAGUCUCGGUAUAUGCAUUAGGUAAUGUAUUUGCUUAAAGCCAAAAUUUUGAUCGGUGGUUAAUUAAUUAAGCGUUCUCUCUUCCUCCCAUCUUUAUUUUUUUGUUCAUUUUUUCCUUCCUUUUCAUUUUUUUCUUUUUACUCUUUUCCUUUUUUAUGGUCCAAUUGUUACUUGGUUCGCAUGGUUUGUCUGCUAUGUUGUCGGGUAAGUGCACAUGUCUUUACUGCCAAUUAUAUAGAUUGUGUAAUCGCAUUAAUCAUAGAACUUCCAUUAGACGGUAGUUCAUUAGUUCUGUCAAGGUUGUUUCCAACUUGAUUAGUUUAAACUCUCUUUUAAGCGAUUAUUCGAUUUCUUUUUAGGUGAGAAUACAGAAACCAACAAUCCUCAGCGCGAGUAAUUGCUGUUAAUUUUGUUAGUAAGUCUGGAAUUGUUGAAGGUUUUUCAUCAAAACUUUUGAUAUAGUUUUCUGCGUGUAAUUAGAAGUUGUUGCCAAUUAAAUGGCUUAAUUGUGUAAUUGGAUGGUUGUGUUAGGCUUUAGGAGUCUUCUACGUUGCUUCUACAUUAAAAAUACUUUAGGUGUGUACCAAAAACUUAAGUUUUUACGAAUUUUGGACGUUAAGAAAUAUAGUUAUCGAUGCUACACAGCCGUGUGAUAGGCCGUGUAACUCAUUAUUUACCAAAAAUGAGCCACACGAGUACGGGACACAGGCGUGUGUCCAAGCCGUGUGUGGUCAAGUUAGUGCAGGGUUCACACAGGCCAAGGACACGGGCAUGUGUUUAGGCUGUGUAACUUACUGAGUACAAGAUAGGGAUCACACAAGUUAGGGACAUGGGCAUAUGUCCAAGCCGUGUGACUCACUGUUUGCAAUUUUAGACCAUACGGGCCGGCGACACAGGCAUGUGUUAGGCUGUAUGGGGCAUACGGGUAGGCACACGAGCAUUUGAUAGGCUGUGUAGGGUUAUACGAGCAUACAGGUCAGAUUCAAAAGUUAUCUCUGAGGUCGUAAGCAUUGUCUAAUGCGAAAGUCAGCUUUUUGUAGUGCAUUGAUGACCCAUAUUAAAUUGUAUGUGUUGCUAUCUGAUAAAUCUAAAACUGGACUAUGAGUAUAUAAAUGGAUACUAAAUAUGAUGACUGUUGGUGAUAUUGAUCUGUACCACCUUAAUAUGAAUUGGAUCUUAAUAACCGUAUGUACAAUCUGACAUCUGUAAUGUACAUUUGCAAUGGGUGGGAAUUGUGAAAAUGAGGAAGUAAUAUAUUCUGAUUCAGUGGCUUGGCCAAUAUCUAUAUGUUAAUCUGGCACUUUAGUGCAACUUAUUCUGGUAGCUAGUCUGCAACUGCUUGAAUGUGUCGGACCGACACUAUAUGGUGUCUAGGGCUGUAGGGGUUUAAAACUCCCUUAUCGAUGUGUUGAGGUGGUCAGAGAUGGUGUGUAUCGAUCUGUUUCUGAUCUGCUCUGUAUUUAAAUUAGAUUUGUACUACCAUUCAAUUGAUGUGUAACAUUGUACUGGAAAGUCUCUAAUUCUAAAUAGAACUUUGACUUAGGAAUAUAUUGUUAUACUAUGGUUCUAGUUAAAUCUAUAAUGUUUAUACACUGAAUUCUCUACUCAUUUUGUUGUUGACUAAAUUUUAGGUAACUCACAAUCCUGAUCGGAUCGACGUAGUGGGAGCUUGAUCAACUUGCUUAAUCACCCCUCUUAUCUAUAUUAUUAGUAGUUGCAUUAGUCUCUUUUGUUAUAAGUUUACAAGAUUGUUGGGUUUCGACUAAAGUUUAUGAUUGUUCACUUUGUCAGAAAGUUUUAAUUAUGUUAUAUAAGUCGAUUUUUCAAGCAACAUAGAUGUAACUCUUUGGACUUGGCCUUGACGCCCAGGACAAGUAUAAGGUGUUACAUUUAGUGGUAUCAGAGUCAGGUUAAUCAACACUCGGAUUAUUUUUUGGGCUUAUAAUGUGUGCCAAAAGAUAGAUAAAUGAAAAUAGAAAAUCUGAGUCAUUCUAAAAACUAAUUUUUAUAAAUAAUCGAUCCUCUAAACCCGAACCUAUAAGUAUUUUUUUGUUGUUAUGGUGAUUAAUGGAAACACUGUAGUGAUUAAACUGUUAUUUGUUUAAAUACACUGAUAGAACUGGAAGAAGUACUAUGUUGAAAUCCUGAACUGAUAUAUGUACUCUGACAUUCUAGAUAGAUUACCAUUAUGAAUUCGCUCAGUAGUCAUGAAUGUGGAUUUCGUGGGCGUUGUGGACAUAGAGGAGGAGCUCGAGCGGAGUCAUCCUCUGUGGGCAGGAUGCCCAAUCUGGAGACCAGCGAGACAGUUUGUACUCCUACUGCUGAGACGAUGUCUCAUACUUCAACGGCUGUGGAUGAUGCACUCUCCCAGGCUAUAAUUCAAGCAUUGGAAAGGAUCAUCUAGACCCAUUCUUGAUCUAGAGGCCGUGGGCCAAUUACUGAACGACUUCGGUCAAAUGGUGCUGAGUUGUUUCAGGGCAUCAUUGGAGUGUUGUACUCCCACUCAAAAAUUGAGGCAUGCCGUGUCCCUACUCUGGAUAAAGCCUAUCAGUGGUGACUAACGGUUGAGCAAGGUGCUCAGCCUGAGUAGGUUAAUUGGGACUAUUUUAAAAGUGCCUUCUAAAGUAACUAUAUGGGGGUGAGUUAUGUGGAGGCUCGUUGAAACUAGUUUAUGAACCUGGUUCAAGGUGAUCAAUCUGUGGCCGAGUAUAAGGUCGAGUUUCUGAGACUGAUUAGGUACGCGCGGGCUCUGGUAACAUUUUACUAUGAUAAUGCGUGAGGUUUGAGGAAGGGUUUCGUUAUGAUCUGUAGGUUCCAAUAGCUCCUCAGAGGGAGCGGGUUUUUGCGGCCUUGAUUGAUAAGGCUAAGAUAGUGGAAGAGGUGAAACGUAAUGAGUACGAGUGGCAUGACCACGACAGAGAUUAGAGUAAGACUAAAAGGAAUUCGAAUCCCUCUAGUUCUAGGUAGCGCCUUAAGAAACGGGCGAGGUUCGAAAGGCCUCCGAGAUCUGACGCACUAGCUUCAGUUAUCGACGUUCAACUCUGUAGCGACUGUAGGAAGCGUUAUCUGCACGAGUGCUAGAGAAAGUUAGGAGCAUGCCUCUAUUGUGGGUCGAUGGAACAUCGAGUUAGGGAUUGUCCUUGUCAACCAAAUCAAGUGACAAUUGUGGCAUCGACUUCUAUUCCAGGUCAUGUUCAACCUCUAAGAGUAGGUCAGCAACCAGUACAUUCUUUAUUUAUUUUGUUCCAUACUUCGGACUCAUUGACAUUCUGUCUACUCACUCAUAUAUAGCUAGUACUAUUUCUACAAAUCUAGGUAUAACUGUUGAGAAUACUGUUAGAGAGUUUUCUGUGAUUAGUCCUUUGGGUCAAUUGUUUCGUACAUAUAAGGUAUAUAGACGAGUACCCUUGAAGAUUCAGGGUAUAGUAUUUUCGGUGGACUUGAUGGAGUUACUUUUUGAUGAAUUUUAUUAGAUUUUAAGAAUGGAUUGGUUCGUAGAGUAUCGGGUCAAUCUAGAUUGUGCAUCUAAAAGAAUUACUCGAGGAUGGAUGAAAAUAAUGAGGUUGUUAUUGUUGGUGAGCAUCGAGAUUACCUUUCCAAUGUAAUCACCACCUUGCUAGCGGAUAAGCUAGUCUAGAAAGGGUGCGAGGCAUACAUUGCCUACAUAUCCGAUACAUUUCCUACAAACCUUUCUGUAGGGAUAUUCGUACUGUAAGGGAUUUCUCGGAUGUUUUUCUUAAUGAAUUGCCUAAAAUACCUCCAAAUAAAAAGGUUGAAUUUAGCAUUGAUUUGUUACCGGGUACUGCUAAUGUUUCUAUUACACCCUACCGCAUGGCACCGAAGGAACUUGCAGAGCUAAAAGCUUAGCUCCAGGAACUUCUCGAUAAUAGGUUUAUCCGACCGAGUAUGUCUCCGUGGGGAGCACCAGUGCUGUUUGUUAAAAAGAAGGAUGGGUGGAUGAAAAUGUAUAUAAAUUACCGACAGCUAAGCAAGUUGACAAUAAAGAAUAAGUAUCUGCUACCGAGGAUCGGUGACUUAUUCGACCAGUUCUAUGGGGCAUCUAUUUUUUCUAAGAUCGAUCUCUAUUCUGGUUACCAUCAGCUCAAGGUUAAAGAGAUUGAUGUGUACUAGACCACCUUCAGGACUCGUUAUGGACACUUCGAGUUCCUGGUGAUGCCUUUUGGGUUGACGAAUGCCCUGGCAGCAUUCAUGGAUUUAAUGAAUCGAGUGUUCCAAAUGUAUUUGGAUCAGUUUGUGGUAGUCUUUAUUGACGACAUACUGAUUUAUCCCAAGACCGAGUUAGACCAUGAUGACUACCUUCUUAUUUUCUCCAGACACUCCGAGAAAAGCAAUUGUAUGCUAAGUUUAGCAAGUGCGAGUUUUGGUUGCAGGAGGAUUUUUUUCUUGGACAUGUGGUGACUGCUGAAGUGAUCUAGGUCAAUCUCAAGAAAAUAGAAGCUAUAGUUGAGCGGAAACAACCGAGAAAUGUGUUUGAGCUUCGGAGUUUCCUAGGCUUAAUAGGUUACUACUGAAGGUUUGUCGAGGGAUUCUCUCUCAUUGUGUCACCUUUGACGAAGCUACUGAGUAAGAACACUCUAAUUGUGUGGUUUGAAGAAUAGCGGUCUAGUUUCGAAAAGCUCAUGUUUGUUCUGAUGCAAGCUUUUGUUCUAGGUCAACCUAAAUCGGGUUAGGAGUUUAUGGUUUCCAGUAAUACAUUGCACGUUGGUCUAAAAGGUGUUUUGAUACAAGAUGGUAAAGUGGUAGCUUAUGCGUCGUGACAACUUAAGAUGCACGAGGGUAACUACCUACGAUUUUAAGCUGGAUGCAGUUGUGUUUGCUCUAGAUAUUUGGAGGAAUUACCUUUAUGAUGAGAGGUAUAUCAUUUACACUGAUCACAAUAGUCUUAAGUAUUUGUUAACUAAAAAGGAGUUAAAUCUCAAGCAGCGCAGGUAGGUUGAGUUGCUUAAGAUUAUGACUGUACGAUAGAAUAUCAUCUUAGUACAGCUAAUAUGGUAGCCGAUGCUCUUAGCCGUAGAGUGAUGACUAACCGAAAAAUGAUGUUUGCUUGUCUAAGUUUAGUUGAGGAUGGAGGAUCGUUAGCUCAAUUGCAGGUUAAACUGAUUAGGUCGAAUAGAUUCUGGUUAAACAAUUGAGUGAUGAGUUUCUAGUUCAGCGACUGCAACAGAUUGGUUCGAGUGAAACUUCAGAUUUUAGUUUAAACAGCGAUAAAGUGUUGUGUUUUGGGGGUCAGAUUUGUGUGCCUAAUGAUAAUAAGCUGAGGCAAUCGAUUCUGCAAGAGGCGCAUAGUAGCCCUUACGCUAUGCAUCUUGGUGGAAAUAAGAUGUAUCGGGACCUCCGAGAACUUUAUUGGUGGCUUGGUCUAAGAUGGAGAAUGGUUGCCGUCGUAUCACACUGUCUGAUGUGUCACAAGGUUAAAGAAAAACAUCAUUUGCCCUCAGGAUUACUUCAGCCGGUUAUGAUUACUCUAUGAAAAUGGGAGCGUGUAACAAUGGAUUUUGUUAGUGGGUUACUUUUAACCCCCACUAAGAAAGAUUCAGUUUGGGUCAUCAUUGAUCAAUUAACCAAAUCCGCUAAUUUUAAUCCUACCAAAACAUAUUACUCAUUGUAGAAGCUCGGUAAGCUGUAUAUUGCUGAGAUCGUAAGACUACACGGGUUUCACAUCUUGAUUAUCUAUAAUAGAGAUCUGCAUUUCACAUCUUGAUUUUGGAAAAAGCUUCAUGAGACUUUAGGCACCCGACUCAAUUUCAGUACUACGUAUUAUCCUCAGACCGACAGACAAUCUGAGUGAGUUAUUCAGAUCUUCGAAAAUAUGUUUCGAGGUUGUGUAAUAAAUUUCCUGGGUAGUUAGGAAGAUUACUUACCAUUGGCUAAGUUUGCAUACAAUAACAGCUUCUAGUCUAGUAUUCAGAUGGCACCUUACGAGGUUCUAUAUGGUCGUAAGUGUCGUACUCCAUUGUGUUGGACUAAGUUAAGCGAACAUUGGGUUUUGGGUCCUAAGCUAGUUCCUGAAACUAAGAAUACUGUCAAGCUAAUACGAAACCGUCUUAAAGCCACUUCUGAUCGACAAAAAUCUUAUGCCGAUUUAAAGAGAAAAGAUAUUGAAUUUUCUAUAGGCGAUCAGGUGCUUCUGAAGGUGUCACCAUGGAAAAAGGUCCUUUGAUUUGGACAUAAAGGCAAGUUGAACCCGAGGUUUAUUGGACCAUAUCGUAUCUUGAAACAUGUCGAACCUGUUUUCUAUUAAUUAGAAUUACCACUGGAGUUGGAACAGAUUCAUGAUAUGUUCCAAGACUCAAUGUUGAGACAGUAUCGAUCUAAUCCGUCGCGCAUUGUUCCGAUUGAGGAAAUUGAGGUAUGACCAAACUUAACUUUUGAGAAUGAACCUAUUCAGAUUUUAGAUCGUGACGUUAAGGUGUUGAGGAAGAAAAUUGUUCCUUUAGUUAAGGUUUUCUAGCGGAAUCAUGGCAUAGAGGAAGCUACUUGGGAACCUAAAGAUUUGAUUUGACGACAAUACCCGUAUCUGUUUGAGUCAAGUACAUUUUGAGGCUGAAAUUUCUUUUAGGGGGAGAGAGUUGUAAUGCCCUAAAAUUUUGAAUGUUAUUUCUAAGAUUCUGUAGUAAUCAAGUCUCGUUAUCUGUGAUUAUAUGCUCUGUUUAGGUGUUCGAGGUCAGGAGUUCGAGUCACAUUUUUAGAAGUUUUUCUAGUUUAAUUUUAAUCAAUCUCUACUCUUGGGCCAUUGACUUAAAGUUAAUUCUGUGUAAAUCUGUGUCAAGAAUGAGUUGCUAGUUCACUGGUUAAGCAUCUGUCUAUUAUCUAGUCCUAUGUUCGAGUCUCAGCCGUGUGGUUGGCUGUGUAACUCACUGUUUACUAAAAAUGAGCCACACGAGCGUGUGUACAAGCCGUGUGUGGUCAGGUUAGUACAAGGUUCACACGGGCCAAGGACACUGGAAUGUGUCUAGGUCGUGUAACUCAUUGAGACCAAGAUAGUGAUCACAUGGGUUAGGGACACGGGCAUGUGUCCAGGCCGUGUGACUUACUAUUUCUUUCAGAGUCAAUACGAUCCAGAGACACAAGCAUCUGUCAAGCUGUGUGGGACACACGGGUAGGAACACGGGCAUGUACCAGGCCGUGUAAGGUUAUUCGGGCAUGUGGGUUAGAUCUGAAAGUGAUCUCCGAGGCCAUAAGCGUUAUCUAAAGCAAAUGUCAGCUUUCUGUAGUGCAUUAAUGACCUGUAUUAGACUGUAUGUGUUGCUAUUUGAUAAAUCUGAGACUGAACCGGCACCCAUUGAUUUUGCACCUUCUAACAUCUCGGGUUGAGAAUUCUCGUCACACUUUUUUUUUCAUUCACAAAUUUUUUUUUGUUAUGGAUUCCUUGUCGAUUCUUCCCCUCGUUCUUUUUUUCUUGGGCUUGGCUACAUACCAAGCGUGGAUCCAUAAAAUUCCAAAAUUUUUAGAAAGUAGCUACUGUUGGCCCCAUUUAGAAUGAGAUCACAACAGAUUUGAUAGAGCCCAUCAAUUUGCUCUUUUAAGGGCUCUUCAAAAACCAAAUGAUUUUCUAUGGGUAUGUAAAUGGAUACUGAAUAUGACGACUAUUGGUGAUGCUGAUAUGUACCAUCUGAAUAUGAAUUGGAUCUUAAUGGCUGUGUGUACAUUCUGAUAUCUGUAAUUUACAUUUGCAUUGGGUGGGAAUUGUGAAAAGGAGAAAGUAAUCCGUUCUGAUUCAGUGGCUUGGCUACAAUCUAGAUGUUAAUCUGGCACUUUAGUGCAACUUGAUCUAACAGCUGGUCUGCAACUACUUGAAUAUGUCAGACCGAAACUAUAUGGUGUGCAAGGCUGGAGGGGUUUUAAACUCCCUUAUCAGUGUGUUGGGGUGAUCGAAAAUAGUGUGUAGCGGAUGUGGGUAGGAAUCACUGUAUUUAUUUCUGAUCUAUUCUAUAUCUGAAUUAGAUUUGUACUGACAUUCAAUUGAUGUGUAACAUUAUACUGGAGAGUCUCUAAUUCUGAAUAGGCUUUGACUUGGGAAUUUAUUUUUAUACUAUGCUUCUAGUUAAUUCUAUAAUGGUUAUACACUGAGUUCUCUACUCAUUUUGUUGUUGACUGAAUUUCAGGUAACUCACAAUCCUAAUCGGGUCGGCGUAUAUGCCCCUGUAUAUGCCAAAAGGGGCACUUGGGCGAUUACUAAUUCGCCAAUUGUACUUAUCAAAGACUAUGCCAAACCUAGUGCCCACCAGAAUCGGGGCAUUACAGGCUUGUUCAAAGAAUUCUCAUACUUAGCUAAAUUUUAUACUUAACACACACUCAAAACUUACUCUAUAUGCCUUACUUCCAUAAACAUCACUUGAAAAAUAAGGAUUCACUAGGUGGGAUUUUAUAAUCACCUUAACGAAGACCUCUAUGUGGCCUAAACUCAUUUGUAAGCCCACCAUUCUGUAGAAUCUGCAUAGAACUCGAGCUCACACCGAUCAACUUUAAUCGCUAACCAACCUUUAUUUCCAGAUUUAUUACGCAUAAAGUGAAUUAUCUCUUACGCUAUAAUAAUAUUAUCCGUGAUACAUCGUCUUGGGACAAAACUCGAUUGAUUAGAGAGCAUUCAAUUAGGCAUGUAAGGUUUCAGUUGGUUCACAAUCACAUUAGAAACAAUUUUAUAUAGCACUGUACACAAACUGACUGGCUGAAUUUGAUGAAUAUAUUUUGGUUUCUCUUUUUUUGGGAUAAGUACAAGCAGAGUUUUAUUGAUCCACCCUUCGAACUUGGUACCACCCAUAAUGCUUCUAACAAAGAAAAUAUACUAAAUUAUUAGUUUUAAUUCUACUAAAAUACUACUAGAAACACAUCCUAAGUUAGUAGAGUUGGAAUGGAAAGUUUCGUAGGGGUGACGAGACAUGAUGAGCAGUUUCUAACCUGAUUUAUUCUUGCGACUAGGCAUUCAUUCCUUAAUUUAGUUUUUUCCUCGUUGGUUGUAAAGUUUCCAAAUUCUUCAUAUGUUUCCCAAUCUUAUUCCAUAGGUUUUCUUCCUUGAUGUUGAGUCCAUAGAACCUUACAUUGCAAAGCUUGUGUUUUGACAACUCCUUUAGUCAUUCCUCCGAAAUAAUGUUUUACUCUUUCACCAUUGAUGAGAAAAGAUUGUCCCUCAUUUUCAAUGAGUUUUAUUGCAACUUGAGGUGUUACUUGAUUUAUAAUGUAUGGUCUUGUCCAUCUUGAUUUAAUUUUUCCAGAAAAUAAUGUUAAUCUUAAAUUGAACAAGAGUACUUUCUAUCCCAGUAAGAACUCUCAUUUUUUUAUUCUAGCAUUAGGCUAAACUUUACUCCUUUCUUUAUAUAGCUUUGCAAUUUCAUAGGCCAUAAAUCAAAAUUCUUUUAAUUCUUACAACUGGAAUAAUCUCUCUUUCUUAACCAGUUCAGGAUCUAAAUUCAAUUCAUUUAUUGCGCAAUAUGCUUUCUUUUCCACCUCAAUUAACAAAUGGCAGUUUUUCCGUACACCAACUUGUAAUGAGACAUGCCUAAAGGGUUUUUUACACUGUUCUAUAAUCCCAUAGUGCAUCAUCUAAUCUUAGCUACCAAUCUUUUCUUUUCGAAUUGAUGUUUUUUCCAAUACUUGUUAAUCUCUCGACUAGACACCUCUACUUGUCCAUUAGCCUGAAGAUGGUAUGUUGUAGUUAUUUCGUGUCUUACACUGUAAUUGGCUAAGACAAUUUUAAAUUGCUUGUUGCAGAAGUGUGAUCCUUUAUCACUUACAAGAGCACGAGGUGUUCCAGAUCUUGCAAAAAUAUUUUUUCUUAAGAAUUUGACCACUGACUUCGUAUCUUUUAUAGCUAGUGUUGUUGUCUCAACCCAUUUAAAAACGUAGUCUACAACUAACAAGAUGUACUGAUUUCUAAGGGAAAUUGGGAAAGGUCCCACAAAAUCAAUUUCCCAAAGGUCAAAUACUUCUACUUCUAGGAUUUCUGUCUGUGGCAUUUCAUCCUUUUUAGAUAUACUUCCGGUCCUUUGACAUCUAUCACACCCCUGCAUAAAUUCGCCAGCAUCUCUAUUUAUAGUUCGUCAAUAAAAUCCUGAUUGUAAUAUUUCCUAGGCUGUUCUCUUUCCUCCCAAAUUUCCACCACAUGAUGAGGUAUGGCAUUCUUGUAAGAUGUCAUUUAUCUCUUCCUCAACCACGCAUCUUCGAACUAAUUGAUUGGCGCAUUGCUAAAAAAUAUAUGAUUCUUUCCAAAUAAAUUUUUUCGACUCAUGCAUGAUUCUUUUCUUUUAUUGCCAUGAUCGUUUAUUAGAAAAAAAUCAUUUGGCAAUAUAAUUCACAUAAUCCGCGUACCAUGGUAUCUUAUUGUCCUUAUACCUUUCUUGAUGCAUUGCUACCCUGAAUAGCUACUCAUCAAUAAAGGUUUCUUUUAUUUCUUCAGAAUUUUAACUUUCGUCUCAUUUUCUAUUCUAGAAAGAUGAUCUGUAAUUAGAUUUUUCGUUUCUUUACGAUCCAGUAUGCACAGAUCAAUCUCUUGAAGCAAUAACACCCACCUCAUUAAUCUAGCCUUUAUUUCCUUUUUUUUCAUAAGAUAUUUCAAUGUAGAGUGAUCAGUGUAGACAUAAACACUAUUUGCCAUUAAAUAAGGAUGAAAUUUUUCGCAUGCAAACACAAUAGUAAGAAUUUCUUUUUCAAUAGUAGUGUAAUUACAUUAUGUUGAAUUCAAGGUCUCACUUGCAUAAUGAAUGGUGCAAAAUAUGUUGUUCCUUUUCUACUCCAGUACUACUCCUACAGCAUAAUCAUUAGCAUCGCACAUUAUAAAAAAAGGAUUCGACCAAUCAGGGGUAAUAAUAAUAGGUGCAAAAAUAAGUUUUUAUUUUAUUACCUCAAAAUCUUAGAUGCACUCUUGAUUAAAUAUGAAAGGUAUUUCCUUCUAAAGAAGUUGAUUCAACGAUUUGGAUAUGUGAUGACAGUCUUUUAUAAACUACUUAUAAAACCCAGCAUGUCCUAAGAAAUUUAGUACCCUUCGGAUCGUCGUGGGAUUAGGAAGGUUCUUUAUGACUUCAAUUUUUUCUUUGUCCACUUCCAACCGUUUUCUUGAUAUUUGAUGUCUUAAAACCAAUCCUACUUUUACCAUAAAAUAGAAUUUUUUCCUAAUUGAGCAUCAAGUUGGUUUCUUCACAUCUUUUCAAUACUUUCUCAAGGUUAUCCAAACAUUCCCGAAAGGAAUCCCAUAUACCAAAAAAUCAUCCAUGAAUACAUCGAGACCUUAUUGCAGCAUAUUGGCAAAAAUAGAAGUCAUACAUCUCAUAAAUAUUAUUAGGGCAAUACAUUCAAAUCAUAUUGAUUAUCUCAAAUAAACAUAGAGUACUUCAUAAAUGUAUAAUUAUUUCUCAAUUUUAACAAAAAAUCAUCCAAACAUAGUCAAUUCAAUUUAUGAUUAACAAAUACGUCAUUUCUCAGAUCAUAUACGGGCUUAUGUAUGCUCCAAUACCAUCCAGAAUUUAACUAGGAUUAAUUUGCAAUAUUUCCAAAAUUUUAGUUUGAUUAUAAACCAAAAUACUUCUAAGCUCAAUUUAAUCAUCAUAAAUCAAUAGUUAAUCACUAUUCAUAGAAUAUAUAUGAAAACGAAACUUAAAUCGGGUCCAUAGGACCUUAAAAAUAGUUUGGAAACAAACAAGGACUAAUCUAAAACAAAACAAAAAAAUAUGGUAAAAUUUGAAAUCAGGGGUCACACGACCGUGUGACAGAGCCCAAGCCGUGUGGGUCAGGAACAUGGUUGUGUGGCAAAACCGUGUACAAUUCAAAGUUAGGGGCACAUGGUCGUAUCUUCAGGCCAUGUAAUAGCUUGAUGUCGUGUGGGAAAACGUGCACCUAAAAAUCAAUAAGGCACACGACCAUAUGAAGAAGCCGUCUGUGGCACAUGAUUGUGUGGUAGACCGUGUCCUAGGCUGUGUGCAACCAAAAUGACUUCAAAAAUAAGUAAUUUCAAACAAAAUUUCUUAGGUAUCAAACCCAACCAUUUGCAACCAUUUCCACCUAUUCAAAAACACAUCCAUACAUAUCAAAAACAUACUAAAAACAUUCAACCUAAGUGCUUAAUCAAUGUACCAUCAUUGGUACCACAAUUCAAACAUUUAGAAUCCAAAUUAUAUACAUCAUUUCCCAAAACACAAAACAUGUAUCUAUCAAGCAUCUCAUAACCUUAAACCAUAAUAAAAACCAAACUUGGAAAUGUAUAAAUCUUACCACUUAUAUACAUAUGGUUAAAGCUUACCAAAAGAGCCAAAUAAACACAACCACAACAUCACAUAACAAAGCAUGGAACAACAUGUCUAAUAACAAGUGAAUUUGAACUCCUAGUACAUGUCACUUAUAACCUAAAUCAAAGUAAUCACAAUUUAUACCGAGUCGAUUAAGGGAUAGUGCGAGCUUCGACUUGAACUUCCAACUGAAAUAAACUUCCAAUGAUCUACAAGAAAAACAACACAAUGAAUGUAAGCAAAUCUUUGCUUAGCAAGUUUGUGUAAACUCAAACUUUAACUUUAACUUACCGUAAAAGUUGUAACUUAAACAUUUUGCAAUUAAAAUUUAUAAGCAAUGUCAUGAGUUCAUUAUUAACCUAUACAUAUCACAAGUCUCACAAGGUUAGUGAGUUCACAUAUACAAAACUUAUAACUUUAUCAUGUCAUAAAGCAUGUACUAGUAAACACAUUGGAUAUACCAUUCAUUCAACAUUUAUUCAUUUACCAAUUCACAUUUCCAUUUUAAGUGUUCAUUUCAAAUGUCCCUUCUUACAUACCUAUUCAUAUAAACAUUUCAUAUAACACUUCAUAUAAUUAUUUUCAUAUUGUCACUUCAUAUAGUUUUUUCGUUUAUAUGUUUCCGUAUAACUGAUUCAUAUAACCAUUUCGUAUAUCUAUUUCUAUAUAACCAAUUCUUAUAAUCAUUUCACAUAACCAAUUCGUAUAACCAAUUCAUAUAACCAUUUUGUAUAGCCAUUUCAAAGUGUUAACCUUAACACAACAUGAUUCAACAAUUCUAAGUCAGUAAACAACAAUAUAGGGAUAUUCAGAAUUCGUAUUUUUAUCCAUUUUAAUGAAACAAUUUAACAUUACAAGUCCGGGAAAUAGAUGAUGCUUGUAUGAGCUAAUCAGAUACAUAAAUAUAUGUGUUAGGUUACCCGUCCAGACUAAACCUUUAAAACAACCGGGCUAAACCUUUAAAACAACAAGAAUUACUAGUCCAGGCAAAAUUUAUGUCACAUGCAUAUCCGAGUCUGCAAAAAAUGUUAGAGCUUGGUCCAGAACGAGAAUCAUAUAGAAACCUUGUGUAUGAGACAUUUACUUAGUCCAUCAGAAUUAUCUUAGAAUUUGAUUUAUUAUCACGUAGUCUGAUUUCCAAUUUCAGCAGUUUAUACACAAUUAAUUAACAACAUUUAAUAUUCAAUUUUAAUUUGAAAAAUAAUAUGAACUUACCUAGACAAAAACGAUUGUGAAAACAAGGCUCACAAUUAAUCCAUUAAUUUAGCUUUUCCACGAUUCGAGUUUGAUUAUUUUGUUCCUUGAUCUAAAUAAUAUUUUUUCUUUCAAUUAAUUCAUUCAAACAAGGCUGACCCUUAAUCAUCAUUUUACACUUUUACAAUGAACUUUUACUUUUAAUUCAAUUUAGUCCCUAAACCCGAAACAUUCAAUUUAAUCAUAAAUUAAUCCAAAAAAGGCCAACCGAAUUUUGUAUAAUUCCCAUACAUCCCAUAUUCAUCAUAUUUUUACAAGAAUUUCAUAUAACUUUACUAUUUUAGCAAUUUAAUCCUUUAACAUAAAAAUUAAUCAAAAUCACUUUACAAUAUUGUUCUAUUUAAUUAUCAAGCUUAUAAAACUAUCAUAAAACUUCAAAAAAAUCACCAUUUCAUCAAUGGCAUAAUUUAAAACAUUUAAUAGUUUUACAAAUUAGCCCUUAAGUUAGCUAGAUUAAGCUAGAACAAUAUCAAAAACAUAAAAAUCACUAAAAACAUAAUUGAAAAAGCUUACCAUGCAUGAAUUAUGAACUUGGUUGAAUUUCAAGCAUUCAAAAAUGGGGUUUUAUGGCUUUAUUUCCUUCAAUUUCAGUCAAUAGAGAAAGAUGAUAGCAUUUUUACAUUUUAUUUUCUUAAACCAAAUAUUAAAUUACAAAAUUAGCCUUUUUUAACUAAAUAUUACAAUCAUGCAAUGGGCAAACUGUCUAUUAUUAAUAAUUAUGGCUAAAUUACCAUAUAAAGCCAUUCAAAUAUGUUUCUAUGCUCAAUUAACCCAUAAUAAUCAAUAGUGAUUAGCUUUUGCAACUUUCAUGAUUUAGUCCUUUUUUCUUUAAUUAACUAUCAAAUCACCAAAAUUUCCUAACCCAAUUUUAAUAUACCUAUAUUGUAACUUCGUAAAUAUUUAAUAAAAAUAUUUGCGGGCUCGGUUUAUAGAAACAAGGUCCUAGUACCUCAUUUUCCAAAACCACUUGAUUGUUGGGACAAUCACUUGUACUUAACUAUUCAUUCAAUUUGCAAAAAUUAUUAAACCAACAUUCAAUAUAGUAUCAUAAUUGAUUUGUAAAUAUUAAAUAAUAAUAUUAGGAACUCACUCAUCGGAUUUGUGAUCUUGAAACCAUUAUUUUCAAAGCCACAGAAAAACGGAUUGUUACAACCCAUCAUAGAAAUGUUGUAGUUGUAUUGCAAAGCUAACACCUCCUCCCAAUUUUGAUCGGAUAAUAAUUUUAAACCUUUCCCAUGCCUAUCCCAAUGUUUCAACAACAUCUUGCUUGAAUUUAAAUAACUUUUCAUAUGUGUUGUUUACAUGGGUCAUAGGCACAACUCAACGUAAGAAUAAUUGCAUAAAUUUAGCCCAGGUUGUAAUCAUAUCUUGAGGAAGUGCAUCUAACCAAGCUUUCGCUUGACCUUCUAAAGUAAAAGAUAUUAAUAACAAUUUGAUAACCUCUGCUAAAACACCAACAUACACAAUGGUGCUGCAAAUGUGCUCAAACUACCGGAGGAAAGCUAUGGGGUCCUCAUUUUGUUACUACCAAACCUGAUAUUUGAAGAAAUCCAUGUUAGCAACGGAUGGUUGAAUUCAAAAUAAGGACUUUGAAUAAUAGGUCGAGUAAUACUAAGGUUGUAACCAGUUCAUAUCAAAAGGAACUACCCCCUAGUGUCACGGGGCUAGACCUUUCGUCUCGCAAUCCUUACGGCCUUAGGCGAUUCGUUCGUCCAAACUCGCCCAAGUCAGCCUUAACUCAAGUGAGGAUUCUUUUAUAACUCCUCCAAGGCACCAAAUUAAAGAGCGGAAGUGAUUUUAUGCCAAAAAAAACAACAGAAAGUCACAGAAAAGAUUGCACACAAGGUGUUUGAGUAAAUGCUCUCUAUUUCUCUUAUUCACAAAGAAUAAUGAAACAAUGAAUGGAGUGAGUACAACUGAGGGGGAGGCUCUCUAUUUAUAAUUGAGCUCCCCUAAAAUCGACGGUCAAGAUACAUUUACAUCGAUGGAUGAGAUUUAACCAUAUCCCAUAAUUUUAGGAAUUUACAAGAUAAGCUUUAUCAAAUCUAAUCUAAUCUUUACAAGAUAUGACUCCCUCUAUCUUCUAAGAUUAGUUACCAUAUUAGCCUAAGUUGCCAUCUCUUCAUUAUCGGGCCAACUAGGCUUCAAUCUGACAGGCUUAUCCAAUAGCUCUUUGAAUCGGGCCAGUUCUCGUAGGCCAAAUGAUCCCCAUCUAAGCAAUAGACCUCCAUUGGAUGCAUUUGGUGCGAUGGUCACGGGCUUUGAACUACGGCCCGUGACAUUUUCCCCCACCCAUUCUCGCAACGUCCUCGUUGCGACUUUCGAAUGGCACUGACUUGAUUCUCCUCGGUCUCGUCUCGACGCCUUAGCCUUUCCCUUCCUUCGAGACUUUUGCUUCGGCUUACGUCGCUUCUUCACUCGAACCGUCCUACUCAUUUGUACAUCUCGAUGAUAAGAAGUUAUGUCACUCUCUUGUCCACAUUCUAACUUUGCUCGAACAGAAUCCUCUUGAUUCACCACACUUGGCUUGGCUUUGCCCACAGUCUCUCGGCCUCUUUGCUCAAGAACUUCGAAAGGGCCCCUACGUUCUUGCCAAGUCAACAAGUUAGAAUGCAAAACGCUAUCACAGUGUUCGAAAUGUACCUUCGCAUUUUCUCUGGUCAACUAUCCCACAUGCAUCACUUCCUUUUCCUUCAAGUCCGAUGCACCACCCACCUCUCCCAUAGGUGGAAGCUUGUCGAUGACUCGGCCAACUCCGACGCUUCACUCAACUUGAGCCUCAUUGGUCCCAGCUUCACUGUUUUCAUCGCAACUCUUUCCGCUAAGUCCGAUGACAAACUCAUCUCUUCCUUAGGUAGAAGCCCCUCCGAUGACUCACCAAGCUCAGACGUUGCCUUUCUUUUGACUCCGGCUUACUUUGGACAGUUCCGCAACUUAUGCAGACCACGGCACAAGAAGCACUUUACUCGCUU
rnacentral:lncRNA from 1 species